UUAGUGAAAUAGAGAAGAAGCCAUUGACAUUGUGGGAUGGAGAUUCCAGAAUCUGUUCCUGCUCUGAUACCUCUUUAUCAACGCUUCAAAGCAGAAGAGAGCUCCACAGCUCCACUCCUGGAUCUCUCCAGCCUAAAAUAACUAAAUAUUCUGGUCCAUAAUGUAGCCUUGAGGUAGCUAUUUCAGAGCUUUUCAGGGGAAAGGCAAGUUUGAGGGAGCUGGGCUGGGCUGAAUAAGAGUGGUGGCUGCAAGGUAGAAGCUGGGGGAAUCCUCUCUCCUUUUUUUUUGAAGAGAGGAGGUAAAUGUCUAACUCUUCAAGAGUGGACCUGAAGUGAGUCACUGAAACGUAGGGGCCAAAUGCUCCAAGGAGGGGUAAGGCAUAAACUGUACCCUGUCUGAUGCUUUCUGAUUUUUACCAGGUGAUUUCAGUCAGAUUUUACCAAAGAUUUUAGUCUUUGUCUACUCAGGUGCCUCUGUGGCUUUCCCAGGGUGCAAUAUUAUUCUGCAUGGAUCUUUUGGGUUUGUUUUUUUUUUUGUUUUUUUUUUUGCCCUAUGAUGGUGAGACAAAUGAUAACAAAUACUUAUUAAAAUUAAAUUAAUUACCUUGUGAUUAUUUUAAGUCCUGGUAUUUUAUGGAGUUUUAACAGCUCUGUAUUUCUGGUGGCUUCUGCAGCCUGAUCUGGACCAUUUGCCUUCUGAAAUCUCUUCUUACUUGAAGCUGAGUAGUGUAAUGAAACUAAGGGUUUCUUCCCUUUUGCUGCUUUCUUUUUCUCUCCCUGCUGCUGCUGCUACAGACAUGAAAUGCUUUUGAAUAUGUUUUUUUUAACUCCCUCCUGCCAGUAUAUUGAGGUCUGUAGGGAUUGUCCUGGACAAAUUGAAAGUGAGAAAGGACAGAAAAUAGCAAGUAGGGUGGGUAGAGUUGAGCAGUGAGCUGGAAAAUAUUUUUAUGCGUAUGGGAUUUGAUACUUUAAGGAAGUAAAACUUUAAUGUUGUAAAUAUAAUUUUCAUCAGGCUGGGUAUGAGGAUUAAAUACCCUUAGGCAGAAAAAGUUUCCAAGCUUCAUCCCAUAUAGUGGGGAAAAAGCCGUCACCCAAAUAUAAGUAAUGAUCAACUGAAGUGCCUCCUUGUCCUGGUUUGGGACAAAUUUGGAAGGGAACUUCCAAAGGGAAGAUCCCCUAAAGGGCAAAAUUCAGCGGCUUUUCUGCCCACUUGUUCGGGAGAUAAACCUCCUUCAAGAAAAGUGGAAAAAACCUGUUUAUUUAACAAGCAAAGUAUUCACAAGCAUAAAAAGUUGAAUAUUAUUAAACAAUAAAACUUCUUGCUGUUCUGAAGAGAUAGCAAAUGCAGAAAGUCCUUCUGUAGUUCAGAGGUGUUUCUCUGUGCGUGUUUCUCAGCUCACUGAAUGUCCUGGCCCCGGUGGCCACAGGUGUGAGCUUCCAGUGUUUUUUCUGGGUUUUGGUCCAGAGCAGGUAUGAACAGUUUCCGGAAAAGGAAAAGCCACAGUCCAGGGAACUUCACUGCCUCAGCUAGCUAACAAAAACUAAUUAAAAGCAAAGGAGAGCUCUCUCCUGCUGUCCAAACAUGCUGCAGACAGCACAGUCUGUGAGAAGGAAAGCUGAAGUUCUUAUCUCUGUGUUUUUGAAAACACCAUGAAAAAAUUCCACCUCUUCUCCUUCUCCCCCAUUUCACUCUCAGAUCUAGUUUUAAAGCACAAAGCUUAUUUCUGGGCUAAGCAGAUGAAUGGGGAUACAAUUCAGCAUCAAAAAGUUACUCCAGGACACUCAUUUUCCUGCAUAAACUACAAGACAUGCACAGGUAACUUCCAGUCAGACUUUGAUACCUGACCUCUGCUGUCAGGUACCUAAUGUGCUUAGUGGAACACUGUAAAAAAAGGACUUUCAACAUUUGCAGAGGUGCUGUCCAGCUUGUCCCAGAGCAGGCAGCACCUGUAGGUAGUCCUGGAGACCUUGUUCCAUUACUACCUCCUCACAUUCUUCUGCCAAAGCUGCUUUGCUUUUUGUCGGUGCUCACCAGCACGUUUUUGACAGUAUACUUAAGGGGUUUCUUUUUGGGUCCAGUCUGCGAUGGGGGAAUUAUGUCUUCAAUGACAUCCAGUAGAUUCCAGAACAUUUGGAGGAUUUAAUCUAGAAGCACAAGGGCAAGGUGGUGUGAUGGUUAUCAUACAUGCAUGAAGGCACCUCUUACUGGUACUGUAAAGGAAAAUUCCAAGUUUUCUUGCAUUUAAACAUAAUGGUGACAGCAGAACAACUGUUCAGUAUCAGAAAUGCACUCAAGGACUGGGUCAGAGUGGUCAAGGUAAGAUGCAGUGCCAUGAUGGUGGUUGAAGGGUUGCCAGAAAUAAAAUAGUUACACUGGAUUUGUGUUAACCAAGCAAAAUCUCUGGGAUUCAGAGUUGGUCCUGCUCUAGAGAGGUUACUUGAGUUUAAGACACCAAGUAAUUCCCUAGUAAUUCACUUGAAAAAUUCUGUCUGUGACUGUAAGUAUGUGAUAUCUUUUAGUUACCUAAAAUCAACUUCCCAUUAUAAAUAAGUAAAUUCUAGCACAUUUUAACUUGUAGAAGAAUUUCUGUUAAAUGUGAUGUCUGAAAUUGUCCAUAAGUAUUGAUUUGGUAUGCAUUACUGUUAAUGGAACUUAUUAUUACUCACUAGAUUAAUUUAUUAGAUUUAUCUCUACAUUACAACCUAUAGAUGUAUUGAGACAUGAGCCCACAGAAUCAAUACCAAUUUCUUUCCUCAUUUAUGAAUGUUCUUACUAACAUCCAAAACACUGUUACACUCAAGAGUAUUUAGCUGCUAUUUAUUGUGAAGCAUUACACUCCAACAAUUUUAAAUUUGUCUUUUUUCUUUGUCCUUUAAUGAUUAUUUUUUCCAUUUAUCUGGGAACUUGUUUGAACAAAAUGCCAUGCAUCAAGUUUCAAAUGAGUCAUGAUCAUACUUCAGCCAUUGAGUCUAGCAGUAACUUAGGUGUGCAAAAUUAGGACUGAGACCAGAACCUAAUCUUCGAGAUGCGUUUUGGCUGCUGUUCUGUGUGGCAGGCCCAAAGUGGGAGAGGGAACAAAAGAACAAAUGUAACUUCUCCUAAGUUGCCUGCCAAAUGUGGUGUAUUUGCAUGUUUUCCUUUGAGCAGCAGCCAUGCGUGCAUUUAUCUUUCAGAAGCAGCAGUGUUUGGCUGAGGAGCAGUGGCAAAGACCAGCUGAAAUGGGUUACUGAUGUGGAGCUCAUUCACUUGCUUCCAGAGCUUGAGCUGUUGAAAGCUCAUGGUGGGAAGUAGAAGAAGUGACGUACAGGAGAAAUACGGGGUAAGAAAGCUGUUUGAUCACUCCUGCCUCUGCUGCAAUUCAAGACUGGUAGACAGCACUGAUGGCAGGGAGAGACAAGUCUUCAGAUAGUCCUAACAUUGGCAUUUCUAUUCCCAUCCCAGCUCCAGUGGUGUUUGGGGAUAAUGUCCUUCCUUCCUCUGGAUGGACUAGAAAUGUUCUGUAACUCUCAGGAAGAGAAUUGCAGGGACUGUUUUGGUCUCAUCCCAGCCUUUAAAUGCAAUUCUAAGCAGCUCACCAGAUGUUUAUAUGGAGAAAUCUCCAGCAGCUGCAUAUGCACAGAGAUAAUUUUUCAUCCAGUGGUCUGAAAGGUGAAACUCUGUAAAACUCACUCUUCUCUGGACAGUCCUUCUUUCUUGUUUUACUGUAAACGUUGCUAUAUUCACUGACAAUGCUUCAUAUCUGACCAGUUUUUGGCUUGUAGUUAACUAUUGGUGCUGUAGCUGCUGCUUGUGCACCACUGCAGUUACUGGGCAUUAAAAGCUCAAGCCUGAUAAAUGAAAUACAGCAUGUACAAAGGAUCAGCCAGGUAUAAAAGGGAAACUGAGGGGAAAAAAAUCACCCCCAAAAAUAUCAUAUAUAAGUAUUGUGCAGAAGUAGGCAUUAGAGUUAAAAAAGUGGUGAGUUGCCCCAUGAAUACUGUUUGCCUGACCCAGCUAUGGGGUUUGGGAUGAAAGCCAGAGCAGGGUGAUUUGUGUCAUCCUGACUGUGCAUGACUAAAAGUUACAGGAGAGCUGGUGGACAAAAUGCAGCUUUACCAACGUGUGCAGUGCAGGACAGGGAGGGGUUGUUUGGUUUGUUUUCAGGGGUUUUUGUUUUGUUUUGUUUUGUUUUGUAAAUCAGUAGCUUCUGAUUUACAGUCCAGAAUUGGAUGCCAAUCAAUUUUUUUGGCCCUGGGUGAAUCUCUCAACCUCUCUGGGUCUUGUUCGGCACCUGUAAAAUAGGGACAAUUAAACUUAACUACCCAGAAGAGUUGUUGAUUAGUUAAUGCUUGUAAAAUGCUACACAGUGCUAUAAAACAGAGCAUAAUACUCAGAAACAUCUGGUUUGCAGUUACUAUAGUGCUUCUCUGAAACUUUAUGGGCAAACUUUGCCAAGAAACAAAAUUAUUACUGUGUGCAAUACAUGUAGGCAUUCGGAGAUGAGGGACAGACCGCUUUUCAGAAGCAUCUAACUUUCCUCAGGUACAUUCAAAAUACAAGAGGUUUCCCAAAAGCACCUGAAGUGGCCUGCAACUGAAAACAGUGUCAGGUGAAUUUGAGGCUGCAGAAUGAGGCUGUAGCAGUUAGCAGAAGAGCUCCUUAUUCCAUUCCUAUCUUCUUGUUCUUAUUCUUGACCCUGCCUAGCUUCUUCCCCCCCUUUUUUUUCUGGUGGAACUGAUUGCACAGUACUGUCAAAAACCAGGUUGGUGGUUGGAUUCAGAUGGGAAAAAAAUGGGAUAAAAAUGAGGAAAAGUUUCUGCCAUUGUUUGUUUGUGUUUCCAGAUGGAUCUUACCUCCAGUGUGGUUUAUCAUGUGGCUACACACACAUGGGCUUUGAGGCUGGUACAUAGUGGAGUCUAGGGCAGUUGCAAUUCUCCUGACACUGGAGAUGAUCCCAUAAGCCAUGUUAGCCAGACACAAAAGGUGUUGCCAUCACAGAGCUUAGAAGGUGUGUUAGUGAGCCAACCCUUUUUCCUGCCUCCACUGAUUUCAUUGGAGACGUGUAUGGUAGCAGAGAGCAAUCAUUUGGUGCAGGGCUGAUCCUGGCUGAAACUCAUCACGUUGUGUGUGAAGUUCUGCUAACAAAAGGGACAGAAUGUGCUAGAGACAAGCUUGUAAUAAUUUCUGAGAUUUGCUUGUUGACUGUUAUUUGAGAUACAAUGUGAAUAUGUGCAUGAUAUUAAUAAUACACAUACAUGCACAUAUUGACUUGGUUUAAUAGGAGACUUAAAAAAAUAGAAGCAGUGAUGGAGGGAAGAAGUCAUUUCCAAAUCCAUCACUCCUUCAUUGAUAAGUAGCAAUUACUAAGAGAGGGUCACAAGUUACCUCAUGUGAAGAUUCAACUUCUCAGUCAUUUUACAGAGCUAGGUAAGAUGAACAUGAGCUAAGGCUGAGGAAUGAAUUUGUUCUUAACAGAAUAUCAUGAACUGCCAAAAGGAGGUUCCACUUCUGUCUCUUCCCUGCUCCUGGCCAAAUUACUCCUUCUGCUUUUGCUAAGCCAGGUCUGGUUUCUGUCAGAGGCAGAUCACUAAAAUCACAGAUCAUUAAACCAGCUGAAAGAAGUUGCUGUUGUAGCUGGGUUUUUAGUUAAGUUUUUAUUAAACUGGACUGAAGAUGAAAGAAAGGAGGUUGUUAGCAGGGAGCAGAGAGGAGCAAGGGCAGAGGAAACGGAGAAAACAGGGAUGGGAGGUAAAAGAAACUGGAAAGAAGGAAGGGAAAGUAUAUCUUUCUAUGGUCUCAAACUUUUUGUUUGGCUCACCUGUAUUGUAAUACCACGCCUGAGCUAACUACUUAUUGCCAAAGUCCUCAGCUUCCUCCUGCCUUCUUGUUACAAACCUUAGUGUGAUGUUCCUGUUAAAAUGAACACAUGUAAGACCUGUUGGCUAUUGACAGCUGGUAAACAAUCAGCUGUAGCCAAUCCCUCCCUCAGGUAGGGGGGAAGUAAUGUGAAUAUACUCAGAGAGGAAAAAGAAUGUUGCCAGGUAUCUGGCUGGUAGUGUGAUUCUGAAUGGGGGUGGUGGAAAAAUGUGUGCUGUCAGACCUGUAAGUACUUGCUGCUGGAGGUGGUGGUGGAGGUGUGAUGCAGCCCUAAAUUGACAGUAGUCUUCUUUGUUACAGGUUAAAUUUAUUUAUUUUUAGGCAAGCCUGAAUUCAGUGGGGGUAGGCAUUUGUGAAAAAACUGAGUGUAUUCAUGUUCUGUGUUUCCCUGUUGAUAGAAAAUGGAAGGGCAGCCUUAUCCAUGACACAGGUUUUUUUCACGGUAAAUAAAACAGCAGACACAUGUUCAGCAGGUCUAAAAUCAUUAUAUCUGGUGUGCAGCAGUGCUCCUGUGGGCUUUGUGACUCACUUCUGUCUCCCUGCCAAGGUGUGCACUAACUUCUUUGCUGUGGCUGACUAGAAAAAUAGCCCAAUCAGCGGUGGCCACUGAACUGGUUUGUCUACCUUUCCUUGCUUGCCUUGAUGUAUUAUAGUAUUCUCCUAUAGUCCAGUGUGAAUAGCAGUUUUUAUUUUGUUGAUGUGAUCUUGGGCGCUUAUUGCCAUUCCCUGACUUACUUUCUUCCUGGAGCCAGCAGCCAUGCACAAGCUUUCCCAAAACUGUGCCUCUGAUCUGCAAUCCCGUAACUUCAGUUACCAAAAUAAUUCUUUAAGAGCAAAAUAUCCACCAAUUUUGCCACCUUGGGAAUGGUCACAAGAUUGUACUGUCAUAGAUAGUUUUCUGGAAGCGUUUCUGUUAGUCCUGCUUCCCAAAUUGAUCCUGUAUCCUCCUAGAUGUUGUAUUUUCACUUGCAGUAGUGCUGUAUAGAGGUGCUGCACAGUUCCAAUGUAUCAGUUCAUAACAACCUCUUCUCUCCUACAGGAAGCAAAGAUUUUUAUAUUUAAAGCACCAAAAGCACAGGUAAGGAGGAAAAGGGACUUGUCUUCAGGUUGGGAAGGUGUCUCUUACUAAGAAUACAUGCUCUGUUGAUUUUUAAAAAAACAAAAUAACAACACCUCACCCUUCUCACCCCCAGGAAAAAAAAAGAACAAACCACAAAAAAACCAAAAAAGCAAAGCCACACAAAGAAAUACCACCAAACCCAGCAACCUUGCUACAGGGCAUUAUACAGCAAUUUGUGUUUUGAUACCAAAAUGAGUGAAGAGGAAGGGAAAGGGAAAGAAGGGAAAGCGAAGAAGUUUUUAGGUGAAUUCUGCCAGUGUUUGAAUCCCAUUUGUUGGGAGUAGAGAAAUGCAAAACAAUGAAAACCUUACAUUGCCUGUCUGUGUUCAAGUAUGCUUCUGUGGCAUAGAAAUAAGUUAUCGUGGAGGGAAGGACCUGCUUCUUGCUGUUUUGGUGUCUCCUGAUGACCAUGGCUCUGCUCUGAUCUUAGGUAGAGAUGGCCAAUGAACUAACUUUCAGGUCUGCUGUGGUAUCACCACAUUGGCUGUUUUUAUAAACGCAGUGAUGGUGAUGUCCUGAAAGAGGGAAAGAAGAUAAAAGACUUAUGGUGUGAAUAAACAAAAUACAUCAUCAAUGCAGGGAAAAGUGAUAUGUCAGUUCUUAUGAUGAAUUCCUAGCUGGACCCCAAAGUUCAUGAUAAUCCCCAGUUUUGUUUCCUUUGCCUGUCCAACUCUCUCCUUUCCUCCUCCCCUGACAUGACAUGCAGCCUCCCUCCACAGCCACAGCAGCACCAUGGUUUCAAUAUUUCCUGUAAAGGAAGGGGGAGUAAGGGGAGAGUCCCUCAUGCCUGGUUAAGAGGGUCUAUUAUAGAGGAUUAACUGUGCCCAAACAAUGAAGCCCCUCGAGGAGCCGGUUACCCUUUUGAGAUGCGUGUGUGGGUAAGAGGGCACACUGCUGUCCCUGUAUCCCAGCCCAAGUGCGUGUGGUUCCAUGCCCUGGUUGCUAUGACAAUUAAUCGCGUCUUUUAAGGGCUGGUGCCGACUACAGAUCCCUGUAAAUUGCCUGAAAGACUAGUUAAAGCUGCUCCUCAGGCACCUUUAUUUGCUUUUACCCACAAAAAAUGGGAUGGAGAGGUUUUCUGCUUCCUACUUGUAAAAAAAAAAAAAAGCCAGAGUAACUUGGUAUAUGCUUUUAGACUGGCUUUCCCUUUCCUGAGCAUGAUGAAACAUGAAUUUUUUCCUGAAGAACAACUGUUAAAUAGACAGAGAUGUGAUGCCUUCUAGCUCUGUGCAUGUAAUCUUCAUGUGACCAGCAAAUUGUGCAUGCCUGGGAAAUAUAAGUAGUAUAGUCUUCAAGAGGUGUGCAUGGAUUGUUUUGUGUGUGUUUGUUUUUAUUGGAAGGUUUGCACUAGGCCAUUAAUGUGUAUGUCUUUGGCUUUUCUUUGUACAUGAAAAAAGAGCAACAGGGAAUUACUGGUGUCUCAACCUGCAGCAAGACCGUACUCUGUACUUGCUUGUUUGCCAAGGUAAUGGGAGAGAAAUAGGUGUUUCCUAUGUCAUUAGUCCAGAAACCUGAACAGCAGCAAAUGCAAAUAUUCUUAAAAGUCUUCCUGUAGGUUAAAGCGCUGUUCAUUGGAAAGGCAGUCCUAACUCAGUACAUUAUUAGAAUGGCUGGAAAAAUAUGUCCAGAAGUUUGAUAAGUUUUUUUUCUUCCUUGAAGUCACUAAAGUCUCUGUUACCUUUAAUAUUGCUUCUCCGGGAAGGAAAAAAACACCAAAACCAAACCCCAUGAAGGGAAACAAGUUUAAAGGGAUAAGUUAUCAAAUGCACAAUAUUCUCUCUCAACCUUAAACAAAAGGAGAGGUGCGAUUCAGCACAGUCUCUCUUUUUUUAAUGAAUGUCACCUUGAUCCAAACAUUCGUGUACACAACUUAUGUCUGAGGAAACUUAAAAUUGCUUUUACUGGAGACAGUGGGCAAGAUGUUGGCGUUGUUUGGUAUGUCACAUCAGAGUCAAAUGUACUAAAAUAGAUUAGGUAACUUUGAUUAUCAUAAAUAUGAAUAGCUUUGUGCACUCAGUGCAUGCUAUGUAUCCUAGUUUUGGGUGGUUAAUUUUGUCCCACUGGUCACAGAGUCGUGAAUGUACCAUCUGCCAUCACAGGUGUAUAAUAUUGGCUUGCUUUUCAUUUGUAAUUUCAGUACUUGAGGAGUAUCAAGUAGUACUGUUGAUAAUUAAGCCGUGGCUGAAGAAAUAGUUGUGUUCCAUCUUGUGUAUGGAAAAUAUGUAUGAUCUUUCAGAACUGGUCAAGCUGGAGCAUCAACAGGAGAAGCAAUCAAAAUGGACCCAACCCCCAGUCUAUGGCUCUGCAGCCAUUAUUUAUUUCCCUUAUCAAAGAGUUUUAAACUGGAAGUGUGCAGGAUUGCUGCUCAAGGCCUGCAGGCUAAGGUCUUGUUUAUUCAGUUUGUUACCUCCAGGAUCAGCUUUCCUGUGUGGAAGAAAAAGAACCAGUUAAGUAGCAGUACACUCCCUUCCUUCCUUUUCAUGGUGCCCGUGGAAAACCCUUUCUCAAGUCUACAUUAUUCCUGGUCAGCAGAGAACUGUGAAAGGCCCCAAGACAGGUGGUGUUUUUGAGGUAGUACCUGUUCAACUUACUAAUAGCCCUGGAGGUACUAUUCAGUGAAGAAAAUAACAUCAUCUGGCCUUGCCUUGCCAUUGACAGUCAGAGCCCAUCUCAGCAUCUGGAACUGGCUUGCAGGGGAUGUGAGACAGAAAAGGUUUCAGUUCCUGUCAUACGUGUAGUGGCUCUGCAUCAUGAUAAUUGUGAUCCAGACAAAGACCUGAACUUGUGUAUGCCCACACCCAUACUGCUGCUAGUACUAUUAAACUAUUAGCCUCUUGCUCCAUAUUUCUCAUGAAACUCUGUUCAAGCCAGUAUCUUUUAUUUUUUUCAAAUACGAUGUUUGUUUGGGUUUUUUCCCCUUUAAUGCAAUGUAAUAGUACAAUGGGGUUCUUGCUUCAGCAGCCCUGUGUAUGUGAGCAGUGGUUGCCUUGAACACAUCACUGAUUACACAGGCCCUGGUGUUGUGCAGUGCAUCCUGUUCAGCCAUCACUGUAUAUUCUUACAGGAGUCCUGAAACUUCUUUUCCUCUCCUGCAUCCACUGCAGUGCCAGGACUCCCCUUUAUGGAAAUGGUGGGCCAGGUUCUCGAGGCUUUUCUUGGGUGAUGUUCCACCAGGUCCCAGUGGGACUGUACUGGGAGGCUGAUGGAGGUGGGGAGGAGAUAGCCUGCUGCCAUGGCAGAAAGCUGAGCGUGCUCUCCCGCUGCAGGACCUUGAAGCCCAGCAGAAUGACAAGAUGGCAGCUUCUUUACCUCUGCUAGCGGUGCAAGAAGAAACUUGCUCUUGUUUGAUACUCUCUGAGUUCUCACUACUAAAACCCCUGGGUUCUCGACACUGUAGGGCCACAAGAUGUCUGACAGGAGCCACCGUGGUGCAUGGUAGGAGCUGCUGCCGCCACUUGUGUCACUGCUGCCAGCCAUGGCUCUGCUCUGCUCCUGCAGGGUGGCUUCAGCACAGAGCCCUGCAGCAUUGUGUCAGCUCCAUUUGCCCUGGGAAACACUUUUAUUUUAUCUUUGUUCUUUUAAUUCUUUGACUUUUGUGAAGCAUUAGGUAGUUGUCCUUUUUCCCCUGCUCCCUGUGUGGCUGCUCUUCCCUUCACCCUUUCACCUGCAGCAUCCCCUUUCUUCUCCCCAGCCUGGCUGCCUCUUUUUCUUGCCCUUCUCACAGAGGAAGAUAUUCUUAGGCAAGGGUCAGAUGCUCAGGUCUCUUGGGGAAAGUACUUCAGGGUUCUGAGACAGAAAUAGCAUAGUGACUUUUGGUGCCUGCUGGGAGGAGUCACUAGCCUGUGUCCUCUCCCCCAACUUCUUUGGGCUCUCAUGGAGUUGUUUGGUCCCACUUAAAUGUGUAGGUUUGAAGGGGCUCUGAAAAGCAGAAGUGAGCUGAGUCUGUUUUCCCAUGGCUUUAAUCUGUUUAGAAUGUCUUAUAAAAGCAAUGUGUCUAAUUAAAAAUAAAAGCAAACUUACAUUAAGAUUUGAUUUUUUGCAACUGAAAUUGUUUGAUGUGGCAACCAUUGGACUGCAAAUGAUGUCUUUGUGGCAGCAGCCUCAUUUGUCAUCACGUGCAGGGCUUUGCACUCCUGUCCUGGCUUUGUCUCUCAGCGCUAUGGAUCUUCCAACUGCAGAGAAAAUCAGGUGAGGCACAACAUCUCGUCUUGGGGAAGAGCAGUUUUAACAUAACAAGAGUAUACAUAAAAUCAGCUAUAUGUAGUUGAGAAGAUUAAUGCUGUAAUGGGAUAAUUACAAAGCAGUAGUAUGAACAAAGAAAAAAAGCUUUAGUUUUAACCCAUGUUCUGACAUGCAGUCCCUGCCUUUUGAGCAAGGCAUUUUCCAGUUUUGCUUCUGGUUUUCCCCCUUGGAUGCAAGCACUAGCCCUUCAUCAGGAGAUUUGGACUAUUUAAUGAAACAACCGGAAAUAUGCUGAUAGGUGCUUCUAAUUUGUAUUGUAAAUACUGGCUGGCAAGGAGAGCAAGAGGCUAGAAAGGCCAUGGCACAGAUAUGGAAGAGUCUCUUCUGUCUCUCACUGCAAGCUCAGAAAAACAUGAAAGGGCAAUGUAAUUGGGAUGCUGUUGAAUUAUGUAUAAUACUGGCAUCAAGUUCCCCAUCAGUUUAAUUUUGGUAAUGCUUUCUAUCUUGCCAACAGAAUAGUCUCUGUAAAUAAGCUGCCUCCUUGUUUGCUUGCAUGGCCUGAUUAUAUACAAUUAUCCCUUGACUGCUGUGACUUUUUAAAUUAGUAGUGGGCUCAGCUGGGUAGGUAUACUAGGAUUUCAUCUGAAAUAUUCAUUGCUUUAACUGACCACAUAAAUGCACAUGGUUCAACCCCAAAACCAGGAAAAGCCAUUCUGCUGACAGCUUCACUGCCUUCCUUCAGUUUUCUUACCAAUGGAAUUGCUUGCCACAAUAAGAAUGACCUCUGUGGUUUUAAGUAGAAGGUACCCUCUCAACAGAAGUAAAAUUGAGAGUAUUCUAUAAACAUAGUACUUACAGAGCUUUUACAUUUUCAAGUUGACCUGGUAACAGUAAAACUAACCUGGUCAGAAGGUUUUUGUCCAGCCUCAGAUCCAGAUGUGUCUGCAAGACCAUUUUUUUCUGCCUACUUUGCAACACAUCCACAUCCUCCUUAACUUGUGGAAACCUCUGUUCUAUGCCCCAGCUCCACAUCUCUGAGGCAUUGUUAUCUUUACUGCUUCAGAGAUGGAACACAAUUUUCUCCCUUGUCAGAGGGAAAUAACCAUCUACAAAUGCAGUGGUCAGGCCGUGAUAUGAAGACUAAUACAUGCAUUCAUAAGCCCAGAUAAACUAGAUUGGGAUUCAGAUUUCAGGUUACAGAAAAUUUCUGCAGACUGUUGUUUGAACAAGGAGAAAAGAGUUGGCAAAUUCAUGUCAGCUGCAGUCAAUGAACCUGAAAUUUUUGUUUUAAAUAUUUGAAGAAGGUUGUCUUCAGCAUAUAGAAAAUAAAGAUCAUUGUGAAGCAUGUUAGAAAAAACAUGGGUUUUGUAGUGAAAUGUCCAGUGUUUGUCCCUACAGAGCUUGGAAAAAUUAACACUUCCAUCUUAUAUGGUGUCUGAAGAAGGUAAAAAAUCAGAAUACAAUUCCCAAGUGUCUUGGUUUCUGCGUGGGGCGGUGGGGCAUACUCAUGAAAACUAGCUUCACCACAAAAUUUGCCUGUUCACUAUGUACUAUAGUAAUAAGCUUAACACAGGAUUUAUUAACUUCCUAAAUAAAAUACUACUUCUCUAUAUUCUGAGUUGAAUUUUGGUGGCUGAUCUAGAAUAAAAAUUAGUCCCAAAAUGCAUUGAAAGAGAUUUGUACCCUCCAGUAUGUCAAAGAUUGAUUCAGCCCCCCAGAGCUCCUUAGUUUUUAAUUAACUUUUUUCCUUGCUCCCUUCACUGAAGUUUUUGUGAUAUCAUCUUUUUCUGUGAAGCCCUAGCUUUGUGUACUCUUAGGAAAAAAGGUUAUAGUUAUUUUCCGGUAGGGAUACCGAAGAAUGCGAAAUAACAUGUAGUAACCAACCUUAUGCGCUACUUAUUUUUAUUUUUAAGGGAAAAAAUCUGAAAAUCUUACUUCUUUCUGUGCUGUAGCAGAAGGCUUUUGGGGUGCCUAAAAGAAGACAUAAUUAGAACUAGUAGGAUAGAUACAAAAACUAGGUAGUAAAAGCAGGAUUUGAUGGAGGUGUCUAUUUGUAUGUGGACUAAUCUUUCAGAAGAAGAGGUAUCAUCCAAACUAAAUCAUAGAAAGCCCUCCCAAACCCAUUUGGAGGAAAUAAUUCUCUGCUGAUGGGAGGAAGAGAGAGGUACUGAUGAUAUAAAACAUCCUUUGUAGCUCUGAUAUCGACAGCUCUUUGUCAGAAUGACAUUUUAGCGUUAUUAAAGAGAGGGAUGAAGGAUCUGUAUAAGAAGCAUCAGGUCUAAAUGUGACCGUGACGUGCUGUUUUCUGUUUCCCUUGGCGCAGGAGUAUAGUUUGUCACAGGCAUCCUCGCUGUGCACGGGCAGGUACCAGACCUGAGCUGCGGGCUCUGGCUGUCCCGCCGGAGCAGGAUGGGGAGCGGGGUGUCAUCCCAGCCCGGCUGGGCUCCGCUGCGGGCUCUGUGCCGGGGAGCGGAGCGGGGCUGCCCUGCAGGGCUCUGCCGGCCGGGAGAGGCAAUGGCAGCGGGCAGGGCUGCAGCUGCCCUGCUUUGAUGUGCUGCUGGGCUGCCUCGCAGCGCGGUCCCCGCUCCCUCCUUUGUGGCACCUAAACUGCGAUGAAAGCCUCAAUGAGCCCCUCCGCUAGGCAACGCGGGCAGCGGCGCCUGGAAUGCGGCGGGUUCAUUGAUGAAAGCCCGGCUGAAGGGCGGCGAUGCCUUUGUGCGAGCGCGGCCGGGCCCCGCACGGCCUGCCCGGCUGAGCCGCCGGGAACCCGCCUCCUCCGGCUCGCUCUGGGGUGCAAAUCUCUUGUGUUCGAGUAAUGCGUCCUCACAAAACACUGCACGAACUCGGGGGCCCCUGAGGGCUACCCCAUAGAGUUGGGAGGCAGAAACAUAGCAGAGACCUGCUGCAUGAAGAAGCGAAACAGCAUUUUGUGUGGCUGCUUUGAAAGAUUAAAAAAGAUCCCAGCAACCUGCCAGACAAAAAGUAGUGUGUUGUUUGGGUUUUUUCGGCCCCAAACACAAAUGUGAAACAAUGGAAGUGUCCUAGUAGCCAAACAAUAAAUGAACUGAGUGUGAGGUACGUGUUUCAUUGCCUGCCAGCCUGAGAGCAAAAAUUGCAUCUAGAACAAAUGGGUGAAAUUUGACUGAAUUAGCAGAGAAGCACCGUCUUGAGGUCUCACUUUCCCCACUCUAAUUAUUAUUUUUUAUGGAAGCCCCAGUUGUGCUCCAAGGCUGAAUAAGUGGAAUUUUUCUUCCAAAGAAGAUAAGCCAACUGCUUGGCUAUGAAUGGAGAAUUGCAUGUCUUCCAAAUUACCACACCCACUCUCAACACAUGAUGAUUUUCUGAGAUUCGCAAGUAAGUUUGAGAUGUAAAUGGAAUUCUAAAUUUUAUUCCUUUGAGCCUUCUCUGGCUGCUUCUUUUUCAUGUGCAACACAGAAAAAUAGCGCAGAGCUUACACCUUUUUUUUUUUUCCCUUCUCUUUUGUUCUUUCUUUUUUCCCCCCACUGUUGUAGGGCCUGAAUCCAUGAUGCCUUGACUUUCACAGCCUCGUUGUGCUGAUAGAUAGAGGAAGCUUGAGAAGUUUUCCUUGUAGACAUAUUUUUGUUGUUGUAGAUAUAGAAGUGCUGCAUAGAGUAUACAUCUUCAUGCUGGAAGAGAGGAGGAACACUUCAGUUAGCCAAAGCAAAAAAAGAUGGAGAAGAAAUAAUAUAAAUGAAGGUCCUUUUUUUUUUUUUUUUUUUUUUUUUUUUUUUUUUUUUUCUGUCUCAAGAUGCUAGCUGUGGUGCAGCCAUCAGUUUUACCAUCCUUUCUUCUUGGUGCAAAUGUUGUGUUUUUCACCUAAGCAAGCUCAACUACCUGAAGGAGACUUGUCACAAUCAGGAACAUGAGCUAUUCCUGUAAGCUGGAAAGUGCUGACAGCUGAAUAAUUUUCAUUGAUGAAUUGCCAGUGUGAUUUUUUUUUUGUUGUUUUAAAUUUAUGCACUCUAAGCUCUGAGUGUAGGUGCAUUUUUAAUAAAGAUGUGUGCCUUCCCCUCUUCUUUGUGGAAAAGUGAGAAGUGACCUGAGAAGUCUUUUUUUUUUUUUUUUUUAAUGGCUUAAGUUAGAGGGGAUGCAUUCCACUCCCAAAUUAGUAGGUUGCUCUUGUCUUCUGAGGGGAGUCAAAAAUCUUUGACAAAUUCUACUUGUUGAGACUCAGUCUACUUCCUCCCCAGCACAUACACAAGGUAAACUUGUGUUAUGCAGGAGACCCCUAAAGGUAAAUGAAAGUGCUCCCACAUACACCCCCCCCCCCUCCCCAUCUGGGAACAACUGAGUGGUGCCUAGAAAAAGGUUUUGUUGUAAUAGCUAGACUAUGGUUCCUUCUGUUCUAUUUGAAUCAGAGAAAAGCACCUUGCUGGCUUUAGCAGGAAUAUGAAAGGGUGAAAUGAUGAUGGCAAGAGCACUGGAAAUGAAAAAGAAGAUUGGUGUUUUUAUAAAACCUUUUAAUUGAUUUUAAUGUGUGGCUUUUAAUGGUAGCAUUUAAAAGACUUUUAGUAAAUAAUCUCCUCAGUACCGGCGUUUAUUUGGAGAAGAGACAUCUCCAUGAGAGAUUUUUAAACGACAGUGCUUCAUGCCAUAGGUAAAUCAACUAAAUGGUGUUUUAAAUACCCAUUGAUUUCCUUCUUUCAGCCCCUGUACUUCUGCUAUAUUUCAUGCUGCCUUGCUGUGUGAUAAUAUUGGGCUGUUGUACAGCUAAUAAAAAUCUUACUGCUCUGAACAGCAAAAAUAAACCCAUGUUUUGCCUCAUACUUGGAGACAGAUGAGGAUCUUUCCUGUGCUGGUGAGUGAGUUAUUGGGGAAAACUGGCAGACCUAAUCCUUGUUGCUAAUAGGUAAUAUGUUCCUUCAGAUUUAAUUUUUAUCAAUUUUAGGUAAGUUUAGGUGUCUGUGUUAUGGAGAAGCAGCAGUGAGUAUUAGAUCUAUGUCACUUAAUUCUUGUAGUUUUAAUGGGGGGUCUCCUGUCAAUAGAGCCCUUUUUAGAGCUUUCAGUGAGAUCUUAAUACUGAGUUGGUGUGUGGAGGCUGACACCAUCCACUUUUUUUUUGAUGAAAACUUGUUCUAAUUUGGCCAAGAUUCACAUGUCUAGAAAACCACAAAUCACAAUGAGAUGUGCUACAAUACAGCUUGUGUCUGACACCAUGCCAGACUUAAGUGUCCACCUAGUAACACACAGAUCUAUCUUCUACUUGGAAGUGUGGUACCCUAAAUAACAUCAUGAGAGUACAAAAGGGAAAAUACAUUCAGAUUUACCAUAGGUAAAUAAAAGGGAGGAUUUUUAACAACACAUAUGAUAAAAUUUUCCAUAAUGUGAAAGUACCAUCCUGUGGCCUGCUAAUGUAGAGUCUGGUAUCUUGCAAAUAAGCAGCAAAGUGGCAUAAAAAAGAUGGGUACUGUACCAAAUGGCUAGAUAAAAUUAAUUCAGCUACUAGAAAAAUAAGGCACAUAUCUUUACCUCAAUGACUUUGCAGUAAUUACCCUCAGCUACUGCCUGCUAAUUCUUGGUUGGAUCUUAAUUGACAUACUCAAUUAUAAAACUAUAAAUUUGGGAAAGAUCUCCCUUGUCUUUAGCUGCAAUAAUGUAGCUAAUUCUAAUAACGGUUUGUUAUCUUGCCAAAUACGUUUAGCAAAAGAUUUUUCUAACAGUUUAAUGUCCCUACAAGAAAAAAAAGAAUAUUCACAAUCUCUGAAGAAUAUAAAACAUCCAAUCGAUAAGUUAAUCAAAUUAAUCCUGUCAGUUGUAGAGAGAGGUUGGGUUUUCUGCUCCCUGGCACUGUAGUAGCUGCAAAUGUUGAUAGCUAAAAGAAAAAACAACAGUGCAUAAACUGAGCUGUGGGUUGGCAAUGAUGCUUCUUUUAGAUCUUGAGAAAUUUUGUGUUCUCUGGACUCCUAUUAUGUCCCAUUACAAAUUUACCAGUUUUACAAAUGGGCUUUCCUUUAAUCAUUGUCUUAAAAUAAAACCAAACACCAACCAGCCACAGAAAUGACAAUGCUAAAAAAAACCAAGCAUGAAAUUCAAUAAGGAAGUUUAAAGCCUUGUUUAAAAAUUUCCACAGUGGUCCUGUAAAAUGUAGUUGUUACCCUCCAGAAUAUUUAGAACAGCAGUUUCUAUCUUUAACAAAAUUGAGUACUAUUUAGUCUCCAGGGGGGUGUGCUGCUACCAACAGCUUUGAAACCUUUCAAAGGAACUUCUCAAAUGUGGGGUGCUUGUUGCAUGUUUUGAGAAAAGAGGGAUAACAGAUCAGGCUAUUUUCUACAUUUUCGAAAUGUUCGAACCAAAAAGUUGUGAUUUCCCCCUCCACACUCCUCCCCCAAGGAGGGGAACUGUAACUCAACCCACUUGUUGGCUCUUCUCCACUGAAUACAGAUCAUAUGGUGAAAAUCUUACUGAAAGGGAAGUUGUCAUUUAUUAUAAACACAUUUCUCUGAAGGGAGUAACUGGUGAACCGUAGACACCUGGAUGUACUGAGUGCGUGACUAAACACGUCUCUGUGUGCCUGCAUACAAAUUUUAGGUACUGUAAAGAUCACACAGCAAGCCUAAAUAAUCUACUGUAUCAUUUUGGGGAUCAGCAUUCCCCAGAGGAGAUUUUACAAGAUGAAACUGGCUGCUGCUUCCAUCUGCACUCUGUGCAUGUGUUUUAGAGUGCCUUCUCCAGGCUGAUCUCUCCAAGUGGCAGCCAGAUGUGGCUUUGAACUACUCCCCUGUUCUUUCUCUCCUUUGGUUUCAACUCUUGUGAAUAAACACAUGGUUCAAAGUUUGGGAGUCCCAUGCUGCCAGGCUUCAGUGCUGGUGUAUGAGGUCCAAUUCCUGCCGAGAAGAUGCCACCUCCAGUGCUGUUCAGGAGAGCUGUCAGUGCUGGCACCUGCAGCGGCAGCCAGGGCUUGAUGCUGGCAUGUGAGCAGGCUGCUUUGGUAGGGAUAGAGCAAACCAGUGUGGGCACCCGUGAAAGUGCUGUGGGCAGCAUCCCUAGCAAAAGCAGUAAAAUAACUGAGUGGCCUGAGCCUCUGAUGUUAGACACAGAUGGGCUAUAUUGGAUUCUGAAUCUGAUUUUUGCUUUCAAUUUAAAAUAAUGUUGCUACAGCUGCUUUUUUCUUUUUUCUUCUUCUUUUUUUUUUUUUUUUUUUUUUUUGUCCCUUUUUAAAUCACGAAGGGCUGCACAGAAGAACAGAGAUUCUUUUUACUGAAGUUGGCAUCACCCUUUCCCCCCUGCUUUUCUACGUGAUUUUAUACAACAACCACAGCUGACUUUCACGUGAACUGGACAGAAACAGGAAGAAAUUCUGUCUCUGGCAUUAUUAGCUGAGUUCUUGGCAUGGGAAAAUAAGAGAGUGUGCAGACCGCUAACACAGGGAGUAUUUCUUGAGAUGAGUUUGAACAGGGGCAGCAUCUGAUGAAGUGGAAAAAUGAGCUUUUCUGUUCCAAAGGUUUCAUACUUUCUAGGGCAAGGCAGGAAGUGCUCUUUUCCAGAGAGAAAGGAAAUAGGAGGGAGGCUGGUGAAGUGAUAUGCAUGCUGACAGAGGAAUAAAAAACAAAUAAUACUUCCAAGAAAUAUUAUAGACCCCAAAGUAUAUCUGUGUGGAUUUUUUUAAAUAGAACUGAUUUACUCACUUUGAUGCUAUUAAAAUGCAAUAGAUGACCACAUCAAAACUUGUGAUCUGAAAGAACAACCUUCUUCCCCUUGUUGUUUCUUCUUGUGUUUAAUUUUAUGUUCAGUUAUGUGUUUUUACCAGAGAAGAUAGAAUAUGAGCUUUGUAAGCAAGGACCGUCUAUGCAGGAAGUUGUCAGCAAUUGCAGUAAUUGUCAUAAUUGCAGUAGCUGUCAGUAAUACAGUAUUCCUAGAAACCUUUAUCAACUGGAUGCUUCUUUGCCUAUCCAGUAUCAUUCCAUUACUUGUUUGUCCAGUGAAUUCUCCAAUUCUCCAAAGACAUAUUUUGCCAUGGCUGAAGUGAUGCUGAAUGCUUUUAUUUGUCAUUAAAGCUGCUAGGCAUUGAGGUUGCUUGGUCUGUAGCUAAUGCAGGUCUUUAGGCUGCUAUAAAUCUUGGGGCAUCAGCAAAGUCAGCCUGCACCAAUGGGAAACAGUGAUAUAUUCUCAUUGAUCCCUUUUCUGAAUAGUUAGCCAUUUCAUAAAAAAUGUCUAGAUACACAGCAGUAUUGGCUCCCUGGGUUAGUAGCUAAUUAUAAAAUGCCCUGCAGUUCUCUUUUAAAGAAAAAUGAAUUUAAAGUAUUUAUUAUUUUUUGUGCAAGGUACGAGUUUAAAGUGCUCUCGCUUUCAGAGGAGACUUGAGAGCCCUGCAGAGACUUGCAGAGGCAGCACAGCCUGUGCUGUGGGGCAGGCAGCUGUGAAGGGGCGUAGGUCCCAUCACCUGGAUAGGAGCCCAGGGCAGGGUCUGAGACAGUAUCUUGUGUUCCUUUGUGCAUUUCAGAUUUUAUUGUCAUUUGAAGCAGCAGCCUUUUCCUUGGCUUUUGUGGGAUUGGGAUCAGGUACAGUGUGAUUUUCUCAGUGGUGAUUGAAGCAUAGGAAGAAGUGAUUCUGUGCCCAGUGUCUAGCCAGGACAUGUUGCAGGUGCUGGAUGUCCCUUUGUCAGGAUGCUUAUAAAUAAGAGUGGGUCAGUCACUUAGGCUCUUGCUUUGUCAGAGAAAACCCCACCUGCUGUGAGAGAAGAUUUUCUAGUGGUUGGUGAGGAGAAUAUUCCCUGGGGUUCUUUCCUGCUCAGCAGAAGGGUGAAUGUUAUCUGGAGCAUCAUGUUCCAUCUCUGAUUUUCUUUCAAAUAUUGUACCUUUUGGUUGCCUUGUGAACUCCUGGUCCUGACCUGUUUCUAUGUGUGGGGUUUUUUUACCUGUCUUUGUGCCUGGCUUUCUACCUCUCCCUAGGUUCUCUGGUCCUUUCUGUCAUGCUUUUUAAUCACCUUGUUAUCUUCAUGCUUCUCUCCUUUGAAUUAAUGAGUUUUGCAUAUCUUGUUGCUCUCAUACUUCUACAUUCUCUUUACCAAAACCAAGCUGUUUUAAGAAGACUAAUAAUAAUUUCUAAAUAAAAACCAAAGAAUAAUCAGUCUCUCUUGCAGAUUUCCCAUGACUUCAGUGCAUUUAAAAUGCGCACAGAGGUAUUCUAUGCUAUACUUUCUAUUUUUGAAGGAUGUAGCUUCUAACUCUGCAGGUGAGAACAAUAAAUAAUUUUUUCAUUUAUCCUGGUGAUAAAUAUAAUGGUUAUCCAUUUGGGAGCAUUUGGAGGCCACCAGCAGUAGCUGCAGCUGUCUCCCAGCUUGUGUUUCUUUGCUGUGUUUAAGACUGAUUAUAUUUUUAAUCAUUGAUAGGAAGUGGGUUUGUUUACUCAAGAUUUUAUUGUUUGUGAUUUAUGGAUUUGAUGAAAAGGUUUCUGAAGGAGGGUCUCUCCAUACAUGUGUAGAACUUCACUAAAAUUCCCUCCACAGUGCUCAGACACACAACAUCAACAUAAUUUUCUCUGUAACUGUAGGAAGGAAAAUGAAAACAAGUUAAUAUUGCUGAAUGCAGCUUAAAGGUAACAGGAUGCAUCUCAGUGUACUUACUGAUGCUGGAUUUUGUCCAUGACUCCAAGCCGAUAGACUACUGAAUCCCAAAAUUUUAUGGUUUCUUUAAUGAUCAUAAGUAAUUGGGAGAUUUUGUAUUUGCAUUUUAUCUCGGAGGCAAGUGUUAGAAAUAGGUGUAACAAACUGUCACAUAAUCCAGCUUAGAAGAAUGCAGCCUUUCCAGCUGCAUGGAUGCCUCACUGGCUGGAGGGUUUUUCUGCACAUUAAAAAAACCCAAAACAAAACCAAAACACCACCUGUCAAGAGCAUAUGAAAAGACUUCAGUGUCUUUAAUCUCUUAACUGUCUUAAACUCUGUUUUAGGGACUAUGUGGUAGAAAUAAUUGGAUUUUUUCCUCCUAAAUUCACACUAAAGUGUUGCAAGAACCACAAUACAAAGCUGUUUUUACAUUGAUACAAGUUGCUUGUGAACCUCUGGUGUUAUUUUUAAACUGGAGGUGAAAACGUUCUAUUAAGUGUGUGCUCCAAUAGCGUUUCCUUUGGCUUGACUUUUCCUUUUAGUGCCAAGAUGUUUCAUUGAUGCGUGUUUCAAAUGCACGUCAACUUUCUGUCAAAGACUGUGGUGAGAAGGAGAAACAAUAGAUUUUACAGGGUUACAGAUCUUCCAUCUUGCAGUUAUGGGAAAUUUUUUUAUAUCCUAUAUUUUAUUUUUUCUUCCUGUCUUUUUUAGGCUUAUUUGGAUGGAAAAAAGCUGGAGAAGUGCAGUGUGUGUAUAUGUAACAUAAUAGAGACAAAAGUCAGUAUUCGAUGGAGAACCAAUUUAACGUCUUUUAUCUGCAGUGUAGUCACCUUUGUACCUUUGCAUUGCCCUGGCUUUGCAAACAGUAAGAACAGCCCUUAGGUCAAGCCUCAAAUCUUCAAAAAUACUUUUUUAAGUGAUCAAUUUUUUUUUUUAAUGUAGUAGAAGUGCAAUUUUUAUUCUUCAGAAAGCAGCUAGUUUUCUAUCUAAAUACUUGGCUUGUCUUUGCUUUUCUUCCAUAAAGUCUUGCUGACUCACAAUGCUGAUGUAUUUGUAAUUUUAUUUUCAUCUGCAGGAUAAAAUUUUUACAUAACAUGCAACUACAAAUUAACUUACCUGCGACAUACAUUUGUUUUGUUAUAUGGUUAUCUCUUUGCAAAUUUUAGGCCUGACUAUGACUAAACUUAAGUGAUGCAGAAAAAUCAUUGAUUUUGUGGGAAUUUGGGUAUUUCCCAGCUUCUUUAUGUAAAUUGAGAAAUGGCCUUACUAACUGCUUCAAAAAUAAGUACUACAACAAGCGUAUAUGAAUUUUGGUUUUGUCUGCAUUUCAUUUUACUUCUUGUUUUUAAUUAACAGCAGUACUAAUGGCUUAUUUUGCAAAUACAGAAAACAAAAAAAGAUUAGGGGAUUGACUUACUUUUCUAUAGCAAUACAAAAUCCUGGUCUGAUUUUGAUGAGUGCAUAGCACCCCCCUUCAUAGUAAGGGAUUAUCCAUUUACUUUUAGAAAUUCAGGUAAAUCUCCUUUAUGAUGCCACCAGGUGUGCCUAAGAAUCCCUGAACUUAAGGCUGUCCUUUAGCUCCCCAUCACUCUCUUCCCAUGGAUGCCCAUAAUAUUUGAACUCUUCUCCACUCCUUCAACUCAAGCUCUGUUUGCUCUGACUAGCACAGAGUGUGAAAAGGAAGAAAAGGGGAAGAUAAGGGUGUUUUUUAGCAAGCAGAACUUCCAUGAGCCUGAAAUUGUAUUGGAAUUACUCUGGAGGUGUGUUGGUUGGGGCUGCUGCCUCUGCCUGUGGUGGGGGCCUGGCACUUGUCCCCCUUGGCAUGAUGCUCAGUUCUGCCCCGAGGUGAUGUCUUUCCUGGCAGCCCCCCUUCACAUGUAGAGAGGAUGUGAUGUAGAGGACUGGAAGAAACUUUUUUUGGAGGAUGAGGGCAAGUCUGAGAGAGUCUGUGCUCAAGGGUGAUAAUUUGUCAGGGAGAUUCGUGUGACAAUGAGAAAUCAGAAAAUAUGAGUGGGUGUGGGAAAGGAGAGCAAUCCAACAACAGGAAGGAGGAGAUGGAGACUGGGCACAGGGCAAAGGUAAGAGUAUAGGAGGAGUUAUGUUUUCCAGAUGUGGGCAGUAAGCGUACAUUGCCAUGGCAGUACUGUUGUCUAGGUCUGGAAGAGGACAUGAUUUUUCUGAUUCUCAUUGCUACUGAGCUUCUAUCUAACUUGAAAUCUCAUGACAGAGAGCAUCUUCUCUUUGCAGUGGUGAUCCACCAAGAGAAUGACAACAAUUUCAGUAAUUUCAUUAGCCCAGAUGGCAAAUGAGUAAGUUCCCACUGUGCCAGUGAACCUCAGCAGCAUAGUAGGAUGGUCAGUGAGGACAUUUUGAGCUUGCAAUUUGUUACUAGAAAUGAUUAAUUGCAAACACUCACAUGGAGAGGGAACUUCACGUGUUAGAGUUAUGUAUGAAGGAUAUCUCAGUUGCCAGAAUGAGUGAUCUGUAAAGGCUGAAUUUACUUCCUUUUUCUAGAGCAGAGCUUCUGAUAAUACAGGCAUGCGCUGCAAAUUCCUACCCCUUAAAUAAGCAGAAGGAUUUUCUCAGGACCAGUUUGGGUACUGUGCUACAGCUUUGUGAUAGCUGCUGCCUUUUCAACCCAGUCCAAGGAUCAGAAACUGGAAAACAUGGAGCAAAGGAGGGAAUUUCAGGGUGGCAGAGGAAUGCUUGGCAGUCUGGACUGUCACAGGCUGCCUUGAAGGAUGAGUCAUGCAGGAUUCAAAGUGACAAGCAUUCAAGUACUUAUGGAUUUAGUGUUUUAGCUUGUAAUGUUAAAUACAGAGUCAGGGUGGACAUCUGUUAGGCUAUCAAAACUUGCUGUGUUCAGGCAAAGCUGCUGCUUAAGAAUCUGGCCAGAGUGAUUGUGAAAAAAAGAAAAAAAUGCCUUAAAGACAUGGAAAAUUAGCUUAGGCAAUCAAUAAUGAAGCAUCUUUGAAGUUUCUAAAACCAUGGAGAUUAAUUUUCUAACAGAAGAGCAUUUCUGUGCCUCUUGUGACAAUACCUGGUAUUGCAAGAUAACUUUUAAGAUAACUUUUUAUCCUUUGAUCAAAUUUUAAUAACACUGGGGGUAGGCACAUAAGCCUAACAGGCUGUCAGGUCUCCAGAACUUCUCUGGGCAACCUAUUCCAGUGUUUGACCUCUCUUGGAGUAAAGUUGACUUAAGAUGUUUCAGUAGGUAUCCACCACCCCUUGUCCUGCCAGUGGGCACCAGGGAGAAGAGCUGAGCUGCAGCUGCUUUCCAGUGGAAUUGUGCCAUUCACACUGCAGGUUUCAGCUCACUGAAUUUAAUAGGUGCUGCUGUUUCCCCUUUCAGUGGUGAUUCAGGUUCAGUCUUGUCACUUUUAACUCCCCUCCAUCUCCUGUAUUGCCAGAGAAUGCUUACACCAUUUGGAAAGGUUUCUAUAUUGUCAAACAAGUGGCAAGAUUUCAAGGGCAGGUACAGAAUUUUUGGAUUCCAUGAAAAAGCACUGCUUUGAUACUCAUUUAAUCUAAACAUCUGAAAAGUUACUUGAUUUCUUUGUAAAAAAAUUAGUAAUACCAACUUUUAGAAUUACUAUUUUAAAGGAGUCCUAUCUUUCAGUGUUGUAGUUUUCUUUUUAAAUUGUGGCUUUUUGAGUUGCUUUUUGGAGCUGCAUAUUGAUGGUAUGCAAAGGCAAAAUAAUUUUGUACUGACACAGGUUAACACAUCCUGUGUGAGAAGUCUUUUUUUUUUUUGUGAAGAUCUCAUUAACUUUAAUCCAGAUACUACUUCACUUAAUUAAAAAACACAGACAAGCAUUUAUUUCCAAGCAAAGUCAUGUGUCAUGCAGUGUAUCAGGGUCAUGACAUGAAUGCAGGUGGACUCCAUCCUGUGAGGUGCUGGCACUUAGGUCUUCCCUCAGCAGAGCACUUUAUUUUGUGCCAGGCUGUGAUUAUUAAGUAGCACACACUGCUAUGCUUUGCUUGAGAGUGGCCGGACACUCAGCACCCCGCUGUAUUGAGCCAAGAAUGUGCUGCAUAUUAGAGGGGAAAAAAUGGCAUUGUACUCUAAAAAUAUUACCUUUUUGCAGGUCAUAUUUCCUCUCCCUAUUCCCUUUCAGGUCUCUCUGGUACCUGAUAUUAUUCAGUGCUGGUAGAUAGAGAGGUUUGCUGGACAAGUGCAAUGCUUUUAUAGAAAGAGUCAUUCUGAGAUUUCAGAUUGCUCAAAGCUUUUUCCCUUCACUGCACUUAUUGAGGGGAAGAGAAUCUAAAUGUAUGAGGGCAGAAAUAAUUUCCCUUUUCUUUAACAAUUGCACCCAUGAUGUCAGCUGCUGCUAGUAAUGUAGAGUGAUAAAUUGACAUUGAACUUGAACAGAAUUCAUGGCGUGCUGUAGACAAUAAGAACCUCUGAGGAAAUAAUUAUUUUGCUGCCAGGAGCUCAUGCAUCUCAAAUUGGUUGGUGUGGGGACUUUAGAGCAGCCUGCCUGCCUAUUGACUGGAGUUGAGAGCUAGUGCUGCCAGCUCUGUGUUAGUGCAGGAACUCGGGCUUUGUGGUUUGCUCAUAGCAUGUCAGAAAAAAGAAAAGAGAGUGACAAAGGUCUGAUGUUGCCCACUUUUGCUUGCUUGCUUGCAGGGAGAGCCAGUGGGUGUUGAAAACCAAGUUCACUAAUAUGUUUUUUCCUGUGAAUGUAGGACUUUGAUACUCUCACAGCAGUACUUAACUGCAGACACUUGGUUAUAGCACGAUUCCUAAUGAGUGGGAGAUCAGUUGCACACAGCAGCCGCUAGAAUUCAAUUUAGCGUUCAUGGGCUCAGUCGAUUUGGGGAGGACUGGGUCCCUCUGAUCAGUGACAGUUGUUACCAAUUGGGGUCACGAUAAUUAAAUUUCCCAUGAAAGUAAUUAGUUUGCAUUGUACACAACACUUUGCUGGGUGUUUUUUUGUUUUGUUUGGGGCGUGGCAGUUCUAACUAAAAAGCCCAAUCACCCUGUUCUCCUCCCCUCAUUAAAGUCAGUUUGAAUGUUGAGGAUGCUCCAUGAUGGCCUAUAAUUAAGGUCUUACUCUUCAUUAGAAUAAAAUAUAAAUUACAAUCUGGCACUGAAUUCCUGUUGACUUUCACUGAGAGUCAGGCAUCUUGAUGUCUUUUCUGACUUUGAAAAUUUUACUCUUUAUUCGAAGAAUAAAGAAUGCAGAGAAAUAAUCUUUCAGUAUGUAUUUCAGUUUUCCUAAAAGUAUUAGUACCUGCAUGGGAUGAGAAAAGAUAACUUCCCAAAGUUUGUAGCUUUCUUAUGUCUCAAAGAGACUUUUCAUUUGAACUUUGACCUCUUGAUUCAGGCUAUGUUAAUUGUACAGGCCAUAAGGUUUUGGAAGGUUAUAAAUUAGUGUACUUAAUCCCUAUCUAAAUAGCAAACUUACAAUAUACAAGCUUGCAUUUUCAAAGAAUAGUUUGGGUCAGAAGGGGUCUCUAAAGGCACCAUCUGGUCCAACCCACCUGCAAUGAGCAGGAUACCUCACUUUAUUUUGAGCUGCUCUUAGAGCAUGGAUCCUUGGUGUCAUCUUAGCUCCUGAUUUGGGCUUGGCUUCAACUUAAAAACCUCCAAAAUGUGGGACAAGUAAAAUAAAAUUUUAAUCUGUGAAAAGCAACAUCAUGCUUUCAAUAACAAUAACUUUUAAUAACAGUUAGUGUUACAGCUCUGUGUUUUUCCAGUGGGCAAUUUUUAACAAUGAAAUUUUCAGACAUCCAGUGUGGUGUGAAACAGCAGCUUGGACAAUAAGCUUGAUGUCAUCUGUUGAAAUGUGGUUGAAAGCUAUAUCUGAACUACCAAAGAGUCGUCUUCUCUGAUAUUUAUUACUUUGAUAGUCAUAGUUUUUCAGUGAUGCAUCUCUGGUUAUAUUUGGUUUAUUUGGUUCCCUCAGUUCUGGUGUUACACUGGUUAGAAAUAACUUUUUUUUAGGCAUGUACCAGUAUAAAAUCAAGUGUCAUUGAUAUAUUGAGCAGUGGUGCUAUUGCUGUGACAAUAGAGGCUAGUGUCUGAAGCAACAAAAAAAGUCUUCUAGUAAUAUCUGGAUGAGAAGAGUACCGUAUAUUUAAUCUCUGACCUGUCUCAGUUCUUUGCUUUGUUUUAUGCUUUCAGAGAAAAAUCCUGUUUUAAGUAUCUUUCUUCCCCUUCUUCAUGGUACUGGAAGAAGGGGAAGAAAGAUACUUAAAGUACUUACUGGUACUUUAAAAAUGGAGAUGUUUCAUAGUUUGCUUACCAAGAUAGAUGGUAUAGCUAAACGAAAUAGUAAAAUGUAAAAAAAACCAAAAUUACUAGUACCUCAUGUGCAGUGAGCUUGUUUGGUUACAUGCUGUUGAGGUAAUGUGAGCUGGCUUGCUGUAAUCUAGAAUUUGAUGUUGAGACACAAAGGCAUAAAUAAAAAGGUUAAAAAUCUGCAAUACUUUCACCCAACAGAGGUGGCCUAUAGUACUCUUUUUAGGGGAGUUUUGGCCAGUCACUGGGGGAAGAAGGCUUUGAUGCUGCCUGUGCUGCAGGGCAGCACUUCUUCUGUCACUAAAAGUUUUAGUGUGUCCCAUCAAUUUUUUCAGCUGAAGCAACAGUUCAUAAAGUGAUCUCUUAGUACUACUUGGAAGUCUGUGCAGUAUGUAGUGGCUUAAUUUUUAUGUAUACAGCUUCAUGCAAACACCCUGGGGGGAAUUCAAAACAGGAGAGUUUUAGUCACCAGAGGAUAAUAAGCAGAGAAAAUAAGGGCUUAAGUAUUGUGUACAUCUCUUUUCCUUUUAGCAGGAUCCCAUGUAAUGCCAAAGGCAUAAAAUGGUCCAUAAAAUGGAAAGGUGAAAGGAUUCCUUGUGCUAUAUAAUUACUAGACCUUAGCUCCUGUUCACUUACUCCCAUUGUAGGAAUGCUUUGGCUCUGGUUCCCUGCACAUGUUCUUUAAUGAAUUGCUGGCAUUUAUACUGAAGACAAAAAAGGAGAACAUUAUCCUUUAAAACUUUUCUUCUAUUUUCAUUUAAUUAGUGCUAUUUACAGAUGCAGAGAAAAAAAAUUAAAAAUCCAAAUCUGCUAGUUUUUCCUUUUCUGGUGUGGUAAUAAAUGUCUGGGAUGAAAGGCACUAACUACAGUGAUGCUGGUAGGAAAUUAUUUGUUGGUUAGUUGACUGUCUUUGGUUAUCUGUUCUUUAGACUUUGAGAUUAAAUUUCUCUGUAGUCUCACUGGUGACAGGAUUAUAAAGAGUUUUUGCAUGCUCUAUUGUACUGACCUAUAAUUUUGUGCUGUGGCUGCUGUGUUUCUGAGGAAGCAGGAGUGGGCUGGAUUCUCCUCGUUUUUGCAGGAGAGAGACAGCAUGUGCUAAUAUUCAGUUCUUUUUUUUUCUGUAUCAAUCAACAAGUGCCAGCAACACAGAUAAAUAAAUGAAAAUGUGUCCAAAGACCUGGCUGGUCUUGUGUUGCAAAUAAAUUCCAGUUCAUCAGAAUUUUUUUUUUUUUUUUUCAGCAAGAAUCCGAGUGCUGUGAUUAUUACUCAGGCCACCCAGUUAUCUGAGAGACACCUCUUUUUGGCUUCUUGAAACCUCCUUACCUGCAGCAACCUGACCUCACCCCUUUCCUGGACUGGAGCCAGCCUUAUCUUUUCCUCACAUUUGCUGUUGUUUUACUAGGGGCAGUUUUGAUCAGCUGGAGAGACUGCCCAUGAGCAGCAGCUCUCAGUCUCUGCUUUGGGGUUUAAUCUCUGUAGGCCUGUAUGUGCAGUUUAGGUGUAUUUUGGAAGUGCAGCGUUUAUUGGUGGUGCCACUAGGUGAAACUACCUCUUCUGCUCGAAUCUUCUUGUUUGUUUUUCAAAGAUUUUUUCCUUUAUGAUGCAGAAAAUGUCUUCACCAUAAUACUGUUUGUGUGCUUUUUCCAUAGAGGAAUGCAGAUGAAAUUUAACACUAGGGUUGUUCCUAUUUCCCAGCUAGGGACUUUGAAACCUGCUUCAUUCUUUUCAUCAGUUCUGGGCAGAAAUUUCAUUUUGAGUAACCAGUAGAGAUUGCUAUUCAUCUGGGAAAGAGAAAGAAAGCCAGACACAAACCAGGUUUGAUGUGGAUCCUGUGUGUCAACAGUGUGUCAACAGCUCUCAGAGUGUUGUGUGUCAAGACUCUAGGAGAAACAGCAGCACAAGGUUAGAGUUAGAAAAAAGGAAGGUGGCCACUGAAGUAACAUGCACGGGAAAUGGCAGAAUUAGCACUAGGCAGUUCAGAAUGUUGAAUGAGGGAAACUUAAUGAUUAUAACAAAGCAAAAAGUCAGUGUAUUAUUUUGAUCACAGAAGAUAAAUCACCUAGUCAGCUCUCCUUUACAGUUAAUGUGGGUUAUUUUUGCUCCUGGAUCUGUGGGCCUCCAAUUUAUAUUAAGAUUGAAGAGCAUUAAUCAUACUUAUUUGCACAGACUUUAUCCCUGAACAGAUUCUGGUCAAUGAAAUUUUGCCCCAUUUCUAAUUUAAAUAAUGACUGUGCUGCAUUUAGGUUUUGUUAGGGGAAGAGCAUUAUAAUAGCUGAAGUUUUGUGUGGUUUUGGGCAGGCUAGAGUGACCUGAAGGCUUUUGUGUAGUUGACUGUGAUUUACAGCAUAGAAGAAACAAGUGGCUUGUGCUGCCAAUUCAGAAGAUGCCAGAAGUAAAUUUUGGUAGGGAACCUGGUCACGUAACUUAUGUGGGUUACAAUAGUAUAAACUAGUGAUUGGUUUUUGCCUAUAUCUAGUGGCAUAGGGAGUUCUAUUCUUGUCUUCUCUUUAGUACAAUGCAGCUCAAAUCCAAAGCAGUGUUCAGCUACCAGGAAGCACAGGUGAAUAAUAUCUCUGGGUCACUCUUCAGGAGAUAAUGACAAUUUUACCUGUGUUUAAACUGGAGCAGACCAGCAGGUGGUAUAUCCAUAGCUGCUGCUUCAUUGCCAUGCCAGCAGUUAACAGCUGCUCUUGGUGGCUCAGACAGCAUAUCAUCUGAGGUAUAUUAAGUGCUGUACUUUAAGCUGACUAUCAGGGGUACAGCAGACAGAUGUCUGUGUCAAGGUGUCCACUGGUUAAUGUACAUUGUUAUGAGUGGUUUAUAAUGUAAAGGAGUAGGGUACCUAAUGCCUAUUGAGAUGCAUGUAAAUGGUUACAUGGAUCCCUGAUGCUGUUCUGAAUAUUCUGUUACGUGCAUUUUGGCUGAAGUGUGGGAAAUGCAUUUUUGGAUUUUUUUAAUAGGAGGUUAAUCGACGUGCGUGUAGGCUGUGUGCCGUGUAGGCAAUUUAUGUCUCAAACUUCACUGCAACCAGUAUUUUCUCUCAGGCCAGUAGUAUCUCGAGACAGCAUGCUUUUCUUUACAUUUAUGUCAUUUUUUUGUUAAGCAAAGUUUGCCUAGUGUUAUCAGUAACAAUAUUUAUUAGUGAGUUUUUCCUUGCCUGACAAUUUACUUACUUGGAGGUAAAACAAUUUUCUGUGUUGUCAUUCUAUUUCUACAGCUUUAGCCUCUUUUCUGACUCUUAAAUCAAGCCUGAGAUUGUAUUUUUGCUUAGCUUUCUCUUUGUAUAGAUGUAUUUUAGCAGAGACCCAUUAAAUGAAUUUGAGUUUUGCACAGGGACACAUAUACAUAUAUACUCAUGAAAAGAGUUUUCUGUUAAUGUGUGUUCUUGUAGACAGUGAAACUUAAUUAGUCAUCACAACUUCCCAAAAUCUGGUUAGAUUAGUUAUGGCUAUGUGCUAUUUAAAAGUGAGUGUCUACAGUUUUCUGUCUUUUUGAGUUAUUGUAGUCUAGCUAAAAAUUAAUCUGAGAAUAUACACCUAUGUUCAACACUGAUUCUAAUGAAACAGUAUGAUUGCAUGUGUUGUUAUUAAUAUCUAUUUACACAUUCAAAGGUUUAAAAUUUUAAUUAUAUUUAUGAAGAUGUUAUAUGCAGUUCCUUAUUAAGAUAUAGAGUGUUACUAGACCUCAAAUGCUUCAGGUAUAUACCAAAGUCUCCAGUUGCUAAGAGGAGCCUGUUAGCUGCUUGCUAGCUUAGAACUGGGAUCAUCUGGCAAAUAUAUUGAAACAUAAAAGUCGGGAAAAGAUGCUGACCGUAGAUAAGGAGCUAAGUGCUGAGAUCUGGCUCCUGCUCACUUUACCCCAUUUGUGCAUAGGAAAUGUCUUGCAGUGUUGAGUUUUUCUAAUAAGAGCAUUGGCUAAUUCAAAGCUCGGCAGAUCCUGAGCAUUCGAGAAAUCUUGACCCAGAGGUUUUCUUCUACCCUUUUCUUUCUACCCUUUUUCAUGUAACCUGUAAAGGGACGUUCUGGGAUUUUUUACUGGCUGUUGAAAUUAUCACUUUGAGUUCAAAAGAUUUCUUAGCAAUUCAGAAUGUUGUAGAUUGACAUUUGUCAGGGCAGGACCAAAAGGAGAGACAAAAUCCUGGGCUGCAGCAGAUAAUAGGUAGAAAGAGGUUAAGCUCUGCCCUCUAUCCAGUUUUAUUAGCUCCCUUGAUAACUCAAGGGCAGCUGAAGACAUAACAUUUUUGAAACAUCACAUCCUUGGAAUGGGUACCUGUGUAAGCCCCACAGCACUAACUUAAAAGUUCACCAACGUGUUGAGAAAAAAUGGACAAAGGUUUGAAAUGUAUCAUAAUUGAACAAGCACUUCUAAGUGCCAACCUAGUUAAAUUACAGGAAUUUGCACUAAUUAAUGCAGCUGUUAUUAAUACAGCUGUACUAGUGCCAUAAUUAGUAUCUCUUUCAGCCAUGGCUUGUGUUAUGGAAACAAAAUACUGUGUAGUAGAAUUCUGUUCACAUUGGAUGCUUUGAUUUAGCAGUUGUUUGAGGGUUUUUUUUUUUAGCUGAUGAUAGGAAGCUCUAAUAGGAAGGAAUCCAAAAGCCCUUUUAAUAACCAUCAUAAUUUUAAGCAUUGUUACUGGAUCUAUUGCCUUCAGUAGAAUUACUGUUUUGGUGUUUUCCUAGAUUGAGCCUGGGUUAACUGGAGUAUCUGGUAGAUAGGCAGUGUACCUGUUGCAUGCAAUUGGGAAGCAAUCGCUAGAAUAAGUAAGUCCUGCAAAUCUGGUAAACACCAGAGUGGCCAGGAAGUAGGUAUGGCUAGUUUGCUAUGAACAGUGUUCAUGGAUUUGGGGAUAAAUUUUCUGGCUCUUUUUCCUGUGCUGUAGUUGAAGGCUGACACUUAGCACCUUUCCUUACCCUGUUGUGCAGUAUCACCAUGCCUGUGCUUUGAGUCUGACUGUGAAUCACAUGCCAAAAUAAGCAAGGGAAUAGAAGAAUUGCAAACCCAAAUGCCCUACUGCAAGCCAGAGCUGGGUACUUUUAAUGGAAUAUUUUUCUAUUUGUGUUCUUUGUCUUUUGCUGAGGCACCUCAGUGUCAGGUAGAGGAUGCAAACAAGUUAACUCUGUAUAAAUGUGAUAAUAUGGCAUUAUACUCUUGCUAAAGCAUUUUUAAAGAAUUUUUUUUUUUUUGACUGGAGUUCUCAGUUUUGCCAGGCUCAGCUUAUAUCUCCUUCUCACUCUCCCUCAGAAAUGGUGUAUACAGGAAAUAGCAAAAUAGACUAAUCAAAGAAAGUCUGAGGAAGGUAGCCCCGCCCUGGUGGGGAACUCCCAGCUGUCCUGGCUCUCACUGUGCCAUGACAGUGGGGAGAAUAUGCUUCUUCAUUUCCUGAAGUAUGACUCUCCUAAGAGACAACUUACUGAUUACGUAGUCUUACAGGCCAUAAAGCACUUGUUUUUCAUUAACUACCUUGCCCUAGCACUACUUUUGCAGUGUUUAAGGUAUUUUUUGCCCCAGGGAAUAUUUUAUUAUUUAGACCAUGUCCGUUGUUGAAGAAAUUAGAAAACUCGUGGUUGUGGUGGUGGUCUGAGUCCUUACUAGUACAUGGAUAUGCCUCUGAGCUAUUGUUCUGUCUAACUUCCACAGAUGUCAGUAGUAUCUGAAAGACAACUUUUGUACUCUGCUGCAAUAAGAUUUUAAAAUAAGGAGCCCUUUGUCAUAAAACUCAAAAAAAGUAUUGAGAUACAAUUUAUAAUUAGCUUUUUUUCUGUAGCUGCCAGUGCAAGUACUCACACGAGUCCUUUUUUUAAUCCAAGACAUAAAUGAAAUCAGAAAAUUGCCAUGGAUGCUUAGUUUCCUUGUUUGCUAUAAUGAAAUAGUUUGUGCUGGUUUUCUUUUUUUUCUUUUGUCUUGGAGAUCUAUUAGGGUACAGCUUAAAGUCAUUUUCUGCAUGUUGUAGUAAAAUUGCCAAAGCAGAUGAAAGUAUAUUAUAGAGACAGCAGUGCAAUGAAAAAUUCAGUUUUCUCAUGAAUUGUUAUUCAUCACAGGAGUAAUUUAGAAUCUCCAGGUAUAAUAUUGGUAAUUUUGCAUGUAUCUUUGAGAUUCACCUUGGGUUCUAACUCAAAAACACAGGAAGCUUUAAUUAAUUAAUUGAUUUCCUUGAUGGCAUUAGUCCAUGCUUCAUUUCUGGUCAGAUAACACAAUAAUGAUGUGACUUUUUCAUCCAUAAAACCUUGUAGAUGUGCACUGAACAUCUGCACAUAAUGAAUUCAUUCAUGCAGAAAAAGAUAAUUGACUUAUUUAUCAUGCUAGAUUUGCAAGAAUUUCUCAUUUCCUACAGGCAGCUUCAGAUGUUUGUUGCCAUUGAGGGCAAAACUCCACAUUCUGUUCAUCUAGUGAGCAAGGUACGGGAUGGAUCCUUAGAAAAUGUCCAUCUCGGUUUUUAGAUCAUCAGGUAAAUAUUUGUAUAGUGAAAUGAAAGAAGGUCAAGUGUUUUUUGCUGUUAUUUGCUGAAUUAUUUUGACAGCCACCAAGUGCUGCCAGUGCCCCCUGAAUGCAGCAGGUGUGACGUGGGCUGAGGUGAAGACACCCACCCUGAGUGCAACAGUUUGUGCUGGGCCAGAGCUUUCAGCCUGUGUGGUCUGCAAAGCCUUGGGAGCAAUGGCUGAGCUGUUUACCAGUAUGGGCUCAAUUCAAUUACCUAAACAUAUAAUGGCUUUUGAGAUGAGCUGUGGAGCGUCUGGGACAUCUUCAUGGACAGGUAGGUGCUGUACAGGCUUGUAGGAGAUCUGAUCCAUGCCCUUCUGGACAGGCAGCUGGGAGCUGGGAGGGGUAUUCUAGGGCAUAGGACACUAGAAUUUUGCCUGCCUGUCUAUGUGCAGUGUUGGUGACAUGUGGGUUGUGCCUUAGGUGUUGACUUAAACAUUAAUUGAAUCAUUGUGCUCUGAUUGUAUUGACUGGAUGUACAUGGAUCAUAAUGGUAGUGUGCACAGCUGGGGCAUCCCUGGACACCUCUGCAUAAACCCCUAAAUGGGGGCAUCUUGCUGCCUGCCCACCUUCAGGUUUGCAGGGCAACGUAGGGAAGGAUUGAAAUGGAUAUGUGUGCGUUAUCACACCUGUGACAUUUUAAUUUAUUCAUGCCAGAGAGGGUUCUGGAGUCAAGGAGAGAGAGUAUGCUGAAAUUUGUGUCAGAGGGUCUUCAUGGAUAGAAUUAAUCUUUCAGAGAGAAAUAGGGCAGUGUUUGAAUACAGCCUCCAUGCAAUGGAUCUGGGUAUGUGAGAAUGUGGAGGUUUUCCAAAUACUGACUGAGGAAUGUUGAAAGUGACCAGGGCAUGGUUACCUCUGUUAACACUGACUCCUGAACAGGAACAGAUUAAAUAGAAGCAUAUAAUCUAGUCUGUUCUAAGGAUGUGUGUGAGGGUGGUGAGGCACUGGAACAGGUUGCCAUGAGAAGCUGUAGAUGCCCCGUCCCUGGAAAUGUUUAAAGCCAGGUUGAGCACUGCUUUAGGAUGCUCUCCUGGCUUCCUCCGUCCUUCCCAUGUGUCUUUUACAUGCCCUGUGGCUUGGAAGGCUUUUCCCAGGUUAGCAUGCCCACUGCUUCUGGGGAAGGAACAGUUUUUCGCUCCCACUAGUGACUUCCACCCCCUGCAGUAUGCACAGCUGGGAACAGGCAGGCAGAGAUCCUCCCUUCCUGCAUCCCACUUGCAUAGAACAGAGCAACCUUAUAAUGUACUCCCUCGAGAAACUAAAUAAAUAAAACUGAUAGCAUUCAUCCCAGACUUACUGAGAUGGAUGGAAAGGGAGGAAGCAAUGGAGAAGUUGUGGUGCUUUAUAGAGAGGUGUACCAAGAAUCAUUAGACAAGACUCUGGCAUUGAAGUAGCUGGAGGAGAGUGGAUGGUGUGAAUUUGGAUGUUGUGUUGAGUGGAAAUGUUGAAAGUCAUAAAUGAGCCAAGGGACAUGGAGAUUAAGCCAAAGCCUUGAAUUUGAAGGAAUUGCUGGAGACUUCAGUGACAGCAAAACCAAUAAAAGGGACAUCCAUGAAAUUACUGGGAACAGCAGAUGAAAUCCGAAGAGUGAAAUGCAGUUUUUUCACUGCUGAAUUUACCUUACAAAUGACCGGAGGAAGGAAUCCGAGAAGCAGCUAAGAAGGGUGAUUAGGAUCAAAUGCAGGGUUUUGGGGAAGGUAGGAGGUCCCAGCAGACUGUCACUUUAAAUGCAGCUCCUCUGGAUAUAUUGAAUCAGUCUGCUAAUGCCUUCACUUAGCUGGCAGCAAAGUUCCUAGUUUUAGGAUUGUAUUUCUCCACCACUUGUUAACAAAAGUCCAUUCCCGCUGGGUAUCAAUAGCUUUUAUUGAAGUCUAUGUCUCAGGAGACUGGACCCAGAAAGGACAAGGGAAAGGCAUCCCUCUGCUCUGACAGAGAUGCCUUGGAGGGAGAGAUGAAUAACACAAACCUUGGCACUGUGACAGAACUAAGAAAGGUGGAAAUUAUUUUCUUCUUGCUACAUAGUCUUUUUUUUAAUCUUAAUUGCACCAGUUUGUUAAAUCUAGUCUGGAAGCGGAGAAUUUCUCUGUCACAAAGAGUUUUGUUAUUGUAGGAUUUUGAAUAUAUAGGUAAUCUAUUUGUGUAAUUUCUGUUUGUGUGCUGCACUGAAAGCAGCUGUAACCUUUUUUCAAAAUCCGUGGAUGGAUUUUGAGCAAACCCACAAUGAGUGGUGGUGUUUUGAGAGUGAGGGCUUGAUCAAAGGAAGCAGCAAGAGUAUUUUUUUUUUACUAUAGUGGUUCUCUUAGCUGUACUGCACUGCUGUAGCACAGAACACACAUGUAAAAGGGGAAGAAUGAGGCAAAAAUAGAAUCAAGAUAACUUUCUCUUUGGUCUAAUGAGGAAAUUUUGGCAUGCAAAUGUGCCAAGAAGGUAAGCUGGCUCUGAGAUUUCAGAAAAAAACCCAGUCAUUUCAGACACCUCAAUUUUUAUGGUUCAUGAAAGUCUGUCCCUGUUUCCAUAUGUCAAGAUGGACACCCAGAAGCACCAGUCUUUUGGUAACAUUUAGGGAUUAUCCCUUGAUUCUGAGUCCAGGGUCACAAAGGUUGUCUGCAGUCUGGUAAUUCACAACAGAAAUAGGAAAACUAGGUCAGAAAAUGCUUAAGGGAUUCCCAUUUAAUGACAUUGAGGCAUCAGUGUUGUCAAACCAUUUAUGAUUUCAAGUUCUUCUUUCUUUUUCUUCUGUGCGGCAGAUGAUUUCUAGAAAGUACAAUCAAUUGCAAGUUCAGGCAGCAUGGGAAUAAGUGUCAAUAAAUACGGAAAAUUGUACUCUUGUAUGCCAGUGUACUGCAAAAUCAUCCAAAGUUUCUCUGCCCAGCCACUCUUGGAAGAUCUUAUUUCAUCACAUUUCUGAGCUGAGAAACAGUUGAUAUGUUAGAAAAAUCUGUUGGGAGAGGUAAUGCAUGGUUUAAGACUAGCAGAAGUGUUGGGAAAGAUCAGCAUAAAGGUAGACACCUAAACCUAAGCUCAUGCAGAAAAGGCACCUGUGGGAUUGAUGCAUUUCAUCCAGCCAGUGUCAGCCCACUACAAAUGGGAAGAAAAAAAAUAUUUAAAAAUUGUUUCUCUAAAGUACUUCUUUAUCACCACUGAAUUUUAAGGUUGUUUUAAAAUAACUAAUGUGUAGUUGUCUAUCCUUUGUCUGACAUUUAGCAAGGAAACAUCCCAGAACAUGGGAGCCCAAAAGAGUACCCAACUAACUUGAUUUUUGGUUGCUUAAAAAACCAAAAUCUUGAGAUUUGGGAGAAAUCUUGAACUGCUCAGCUUCACUGACUUACUCUUGGCUACAGAACAGGUAUGUGCCUAUGCUUUUUAUCUUGAUUGCAGAAAAAGAGCACAAAGAGGUGAGAUCAUACACAGCUCUGAAUAGACUUAUUACAAAUCAGAAAUCUUGAAGCCUUCUGCAACCCUAGCUGAAAACUGUCGGCUUCAGUGUGAUCAGAGUGGAAUAUUUAGAAUGUAAUUUAACUCUUGUGUUACAAUAACUCCUGUAGGGCCCAGAAAGAUCAGGGCUUCAUAGUACAAAUGCAGACAAAACAGACCUAUCUCAGAAGAUUUACAGUAUAUAUACAUUUCUCUGAUGUAUAUUUACUUAUAUUGUAUAUAAGUAAAUAUUUAUAUUUACUUGUAUAUUCAAGAUCUCUAUCCUUGAGUUGAAUGUUAUAUUCAAACAGAGAAGUUCAAAGAAAUACAUUUUCUUGCAUAUUUAUGAAGUUCUAUGGGUUAAAAAAAUUAAAAGUUCCAAUUCUGAUAUAUUAAAAGAUUGUUUUCUAUAAAACCACCACCACCCUGUAGUAAUGAAAAAUUUCAAGUGUAAAUAGAGGUGAAGGCAAAGCAGUUAACUUAAGCAAGCACUUUUAUACUUAAUGUUAGCUGCUUCAUCCACCAUGACAAACUCAGUUUGGAGAAUGUGUAUCAAAAAAUAUAAACCCAUUUUGGAACACCUUAUAGGAUCAUUUAAACAUAAUGUUGAAAGGGAUCUCUGACAAAGAGAGAGUCUCUGACAAACAGAGUCCAGUCUCCUGCUCAAAGUCAGACUAACUUCAGAGUUCAUUGCCUGGUGUAGUUCACAUCUCAAAAGGUCUGCAAGAGAAUCCACAGCUUCUUGCGACACCUUGUUCCAGAAUUUACCAGCUAUACAUCUCCACUCAUUAACACAGCAAUGGCAUAUUCUUUGGUUUUCUUUGGAAGUAAUCCAUUACCAUCGAGAGAAAAUUGCUAAGGACUUGCUUCCAAACUCCAACUUUUUAGACUGGAAAUGACCCAAGGUGCAUUUUGGUUAGCUGUGCAGAAUAACCUAUAAAUGUAUUAAUCCACAGUCUGGGAAUUGUUACAGGCCACUUUGCAAAGAGAUUGCUGCUGCUUUUUGAGCAAGGCUUUUUUGUUUGGGAUGCAGAAAAGAGCAGCAAUGAAUGCAGGCUUGUGGUUGAAAUUUGUGACUAGAGGGAAUUGUCUCUGAACUCCUAAUGCCCUUUAAAAACUGUUUUACUUGAAAAAACUAUUUGUAGAGGUUUGCUGAUUUGGUUUCUUGUCAAGAAAUGCCUAAGUGAGGGGAGCUGGUUUUGUGUUUUCACAAACUACUUUUUCUUUGAAUGUACUGAUUCAACAGGACCUCAUCAUCUUGUGGAACACAGCAGUCCAAGUAAUGCUUUCCCCAGGAAAGGCUUUUAAGGUGCUGAUGACUGUCUGGUCAAGUCAAUGAGAUCUGUGGGGAACCAGAUUUUUCCUCCACAGUGGUGGAUACAGCUGUGCAAGACAUGAGGUUAAUAACCACCAGGAGAUGCCUGUCCAUGAACUAUAGAGUAUGCACAGAUGCAAAUCUUAGGUGAGACACUUAACUUCUGCAGGGCUGAAGUCAGAAAGGUCAAAUUCUUUUUUUGUUAUAUAUUUAAAUGGUUAGUGUCUAUUCCUUUAAAUGUUUUGUGGAUGUAAAUUGCUUUGGAAAACUACAUGGCAAAAUUAUAGGGAAAGGAAAGAAAUGGAUAAAAUGAGCUUCUUAAAGAUCAUGUGUUGCCAACAGUUAUCCUCCCUAGGGAGGGAACAGCUGGACUAGGUUGCAUUUUGUGACAUUCACCUGGCAAAUGAUCAUUGAGCACCCUAUGGAGAAAAUUUAAUUGAUGUCAAAUACAGGGGUAGAACCACUUCUCUGUUCUGAGCAAAUUUUUCAUGUAGCAAUGUCUUGUCUGUCACCUGUUUAUCCCAGCCCAUGGUUAGAAGCACAGAGGCCUCUGCUCCCUCAAGUAAAACGUGCAAAUUUUUAGUAAUCUAAGAAUUUUUCCAUAUAUGUGUUUGAGAGAGCGAGAGUGGCUUUUCACAUACAUGAUUGAACUGGGUUCCCACCUAGUACUGCUCAAAUGCAAUCCACAGCCAUGAGAGACUGAGCAUGAUUUUUGUAGGGAUGAAGAACUCCAUCAUGUAACUGUGCUUUCACGAAGAAAGCAAGUUGGAUGCUUGUUUCAUGUAAAACUAGGAUCUCAGAGCCUGAAUGAGCUCAAGUGCUAUUUUAAGCUUAUUCAUAGGCUUCUGUGAUCUUGUUGACCUUUUAGUCCUGACAUCCCUGGUGCCAAACAGUAUGAAAAGCCAGAUUCUCAAUGAAAAUGAGAUUUUUGUCUGUGAUUUAAGCUUUCAUUAGUGAAACAGAUACAGCACUGAAGACAUUGUCAUGUGAAAAGGAUAUAUUUGACGUUAGUAGAGACUUCUUUCAUCAUGCUCUCCAGCCAUGGUAGAGCUGGGCAUGUGGGCAAUAUAUGUGUUUUCAGAUCUUUACCCUCGCAUCUCCUCCAAACCUAAGAUGCUGCUAGAAUAGUUUUAGAAACCAUUUCUUCAUUAGUGCAGCAGUAAUCAUGGAAAUAGGUCACAGGCUUUUUGGAGUUAAGCUGUUACGUCCCCACAGAGAACGACACUUAAAUAUCAAUAGCGUAACCGGGAAAACUCGGCAGUUAUUUCCCUGUUUUCUGCAAUUCAAUGAGGAGUUGUUCCAUGCAGACCCCAUUGCACUCCAGAUGAAUGGUGGUGAUUGUGAGAAAAUGAUCUUCUAUUAAUGCAAGAUGUCACAUUGAGAACAAAGACUAGUUCUUACCAUGAUGGGAUGAGCUCACCCUAAUCCCCAAUUUGGGAGACUUUGAUGCUUGUUCAGGUGCCAGUUUUUCCAUAUGUGACAUACAAGAAAGAACUUUAAAAAGAAUGCUGAACAGGGCAAUGUUAAACUGAUUCAUGGCUCCUGAAUCUCAAGGUCAUAUUGGGUGAUAUGUCAUGUAAUUAUCCUUUUGCAUGCAAUUUCCCAGAAAACCACCUUUCCUAUCAAUAGUUUGAGCUUUCAGGGUGCUAUGAAAAUAAUUAAUAUUAAAUUUGCCUUAAAUAAAGAAGUGCAGGCCUUUUUUUUUGAGAUCCCCUAGCUGUUUCAAUUUAUCUUGCAUAAAUGUCUAAAAUAUGUCAGUUUAAUUAAAACCAGUUUUGCCUCCAGGUUUUUUGUACUGCAGAAUUUACACCCUCAUCCUGGGAUUUUGGUGUGCCUUCCUGACACACUGUUCCUCUGCAGUGCCCACCUAUCUAUCAGAACAGGAAGGACCAGAAGAGUAUGACUGCUCUGUUUCAUGAGCUAUAACAAAUGCUGUGAUAAGCGGAGAUUUUGUAUAAAUUUACUCAGUUACAAAAUCUGAAAAAAAAAACCCACUGUCAUUGUGGCUUGGAGAUUUCGGAAUAGUGAGAUAGCCAGCAGGAUUUCAAACUCAAUAAUCAUGUAAAGCUUACAGUUUCCUCUCUGUUUCAGUAGCCUUUUAUGUUGGUUUUCCUAUUCCACUAAAAUGCCCCUUCUCUUGGUUCAUUAUCUCUUUGGCACAUAACUGUCUUUUGCCCAAGAUGACAUUUAGAAAGUCAAGCAGCAAGUUCUAAUAAAAAAAAAACCAAAAGGACAUAUAUUGCUCAUUGCUCUAAACCUGACUUUUUUUCCCUUGUGAUCUGAUGCAGGUGGCAAACAGAGGAGGAUUGGGUGGGUGCUGUCCCAUUGUCCUGCUGUUCCACCUUUUUAUUGUGCUGAAUCCUUUCUUUGGGGAAAGCAGGUGGAGUGCAGAAAUAUUUCUUAUUCUGUAUAUCCCACCACAGUAAAAUGUGAAUGUUGCAUAACCAACAGGAUCAAAGGUUGUUAAAAACCUCAAAGAAAUAGCAUAAUUUCUUCUAUUCUAAUUUUGAAGGUUAUAGGGAAGACUUUUUUUGGGGGGGUGUAUGCAGGGUGUCAAGAGAAUAGAAAAUAAACUCCCUGAAGAAAAAAAGAAAUAAAAUAUUCAAAAUAGUGCUGGAACUGCUAGACUUGUAUUCCUUAGAGAACACAAAUUUUUAUUCUGUAGGCUGCUUUGUAAGGACUAAGCCCUCAAAAAUUCUGUUUUCAGUUAUGAGUUUAUUUUAAUGUAUGUAUGUUGUGAUGUAAAGUAGAAGCAGAUCAAUUAGUAAAGUAAAAAAAAUAGGCUGAUGUGCCAGAAAGAUAAAAACCAAAGUAGCAUUACUUAUACCAAGUAAAGGCCUGUAAAAUUCCAGCCUAGAUUUGUGGGAAAAAAAAGAAAAAAAGAAAAAAAAGAAAAUCAAUGUCAGAGUAAUUGGCAGUUCAGAAUAUUGGAAAGAUGAGGCACAUUUUGAAUAUGACAAGAUUAAAUUCAGAAAGAGAUAAAUUGCAAGAAGACAUAAAAGUAAUCUAGUAUUUGCUUUAGUUUUAAAGACAACUUAGAGUUACAAUUUGUGUUUGUGUUACCAAAGGUGUGUGGUUUAUAAAAUGCUAGAAUGAGUCUGGCUACAUGACUAAUUUCUGGAAUAUGCUUUUGUUUACCCUGGAGACUAUUCUUUUUUUUUCUUUCUUUCUUCCUAUCUUUCUUUAGCUCUGUAUGCAGAAUAUCUGUGGGUUGCCAUCAAGUUUUAGCUCAGGAACUUUCCUGAAGAUCUUAUAAUUACCGCUUUUAAUUAAUACUGUCGGAAAGAUUGUCAGCAUCUGUGGCUUUUACCACAAUAAAGAGAAAAACAGGAGAUUGGAAAAGAUACAAAGAACAGCCAUCCUGCUAAGAGAUGCGUGUGUGUUCUUCUCAGGUGGCCCAGAAGGAAUUUGACACCUGCCCUGGUACCAGCCCAUACUGGGGAUGCCUGGCGGUGGUGCAACACCUCUUCAACAGCUGUGUAAAGCAGGAACAGAAAUUGCAGCACUCCUUUAGAGCACAACUCCCCUUGCCUCCUCCUCCCCUCCCAGCAUGCUACAAAGCUCCAGGUCACAAACACACCUUGCUGGCUGCCAGAGCUCAUAGCAGCAGCGAGGCCUGGUGUGUGAUCAGCUAAUGACAUCCCUCUGAUUUCAUCCAAUGCUUGUGAGCUCCUCCGGGAUACUCCUCCUUUGGUUACUGCUGAUUCUCAAAUUCAGAGCGUGUCAAAAGCCCAACUGCAGGCUCUUCUAAAUAAUAGUGAUUUAAGCAAUGCUGUGAACUCCUUCUAAUUACAUUUAAAUCAUCAACAGUAGGCUUUUUGUGUUAGCCCUAAUGUGGAAGUGGCGUUGUUCUAGCCCAGUGGUGUUAUUUUAGUGCUCUUCUGUAGAAGGUACUCAUUGCCUGAAGUGCUUGAAAUCAACCCUUUUUAUGUUGUUUUGCUGGAGCUGUUGUAGUCUAAGAAGAAAUGAGAGAUGUAUGAGCCACAGCAAGGAACAUGUGGCUACUUGCACUACAAAAUUGAAGGCCAAGCACAAUCUAAAUGCACUCGCGGGCAAGUUACUGUGCAGGAUUCAGAGCUGACAGAUGUAGUGGCAUAAGUUACAUGUUACUAAGUGGAUAUAAGUGGAUCUGGCUGAGUCUGAAGGAGCAGAAAUGAUAACCUGGAAAAGAAGUCCUAAUUACAGCAGUGUAAGUGAUGCUAGAACAGUUUUAAGUACCAAUCGCAGAGAUAAGCUUAGACAACAACAUGCAAAAGUUACAUAGAUCUACUGGGAGCUAUUCAAUUGCCACAUUUAUAUUAGUUUAUUUCAUUGCUGAAACCCUCUUCCUGUGUUUCUUCAAGUUUGGAUUGCUGCAUGCAUGGUGCAUAGAAGUUGCUGUGUUCUGUGCAUUCUCUGAGCCUCAUCAACCUUGUCUGAUCGCUUACUUUCCUCUCUGUGUAAGUAGGAUGUGUAUUUAGGGAGCAGGGAGGGCUGCUGCUCUGUUUUCAGGCAUUCCUAAGAGCACAAUGUGCUGCUUCUCUCCUGCAUUUUCCUUGUAUGUCAUUAGCAGUCGACUUGCUGAGCCUUGCCAUUUCUGUUUACCGUUGCAGAACAUGUCAACCAAGGCAAUAUAAAAGGUUGUAAAUAGUAUCUGGGAUGUUUAAGAUAUAGUCGUGUUCUUAGACACAAAGCAUGAAACUGCCAAUACUAUGCUGAUUUUAAUGGAAGUUUUCAAGGCUUUGCACACAAAAAGGCCAUAUGAGACACUGUUCUUCUACCUCAUGCUAUUUUUUUGCUUGCCUUUCUCUACUUUCUUAGUGCAGUAAUAAUAGAGUUUGGGGAUCAGUAAAGUAGUUUGCUUUGUUUAAAGAUGCCAGGUCAGACAUCAACAUUGUUGCUUCUGCUCUAGUGCCCUUUCAGUUCUAGUUUGUGCAGGAUUAUAUGAAAUGAAUGUGUACAUUAGUUGUUAAUAUAACUAAUUUUCUCCACUUCGUUGCUUGACUAAGUUCUGCUGCCUCAUGACACCAGCACUUGAUUAGAAUUAGAUUUGUUCAUACUGGGGCAAGGAGCACUGAAGAGGUGGUUCUAUAUUGGAGAAGCAUGUGCUUAUCCAUGGAUCACUGAUGCAUUUCAUUUAUUUGGCAAGAUUUGUUUUGGAUUGGUUUGGGGGAUGGAGAGACUACUUCAACUGCUCUCCAGUUCUGACAGCAAAGACAACAGUAACCUUGGCAACUAAGGAUGCUGAAAUACCACUUAAUCCUUACUCCUAAGUCAAUAGGGUUUUGUUCAAGUAAUAAAUUAUCAAACCUCUCAGCAUGUGGCUGAAGAAACUAUAAAAUAAAUCGGGUACUGCAGUUCAGAUAAAGUAUUGGUGCAGCCACUAACUGCAUGGCUGCACAAUUGAAAUAAACUUUGUCAGGAAUUUUCCAGCCAGAGGUUUUUUUUUUUUUUUCUGUCUGAAAAUGCUGAUUCAUAGAAAUCAAAACUGUGGGAGAAGAUUUGUUUUCAAGUUUCUCAUUUCAAAGCAAAACCAAGUAGUUGUUUAAAUAUCUUUCUCUGACAUUUUCUUAACAAAAAUGUUAAACACUUUACAGAAAAAUAUUUUGUUAGGUGAAAGGCUGUAAAUCUAGCAGCUGUGUAUUGCAGAGUAUUUUGGAGUAAGCAGGUGCCCAAGAAGAAAAACCUGCUCCCUGUCUUGCUGCAUAGGGUUCAGCUAGGUGAGCUGGUGGGGCCUGAGCUGUAUCAAAGCUGUGAGAGUGCCAGGUCCAGGGGCAGGAAGGAGGGUGAGAGGAAGGAGCAGAGUCACCCCUUCUGGCUGCAGCUCCUGCUAGUGCUGCACAGAGUACAAGGUGAAGUCCUGCUUUGAGUUAAGGUUUUGCUCUGAAUCACCCUUGGAAGACCUUCUCUUUGUCUCUCUCUCUCUUACAUUUGUUUCUUUUGUCUUUGGGGUUUUCUUUUUAAAAAAUUUUGACUUUUUGUCUCUACAGCAGAAGCCCUUAAUAUCCUCCUGAAUAUUGGUCUUGGAACAGUUUCCAGUCUACGUUUAUACGCACAGUAAAUAGGAAGGAAGUUCCUUUGAUAUUUGUAGCAAUGACUUCUGUUUAUUAUCCUGAGAGUCAUUCAGCAUGAUCAAAGGUAGUAAUUGUUUCUUUAUAGCCCAAACCUCUCCUGAAGGUGGGGGGGUAUAGCUGCCUGUAACAAGACCAGAAGCAUGCACAACCUUUCAUUUACUACCACAGCCUCUUAUUGUAGGAAAGGUUGCAGUUUCAGUUAAGCUGCUGUGAAAAUUUUUACAGUAGGGGGAACUAAAUCUUUUUUCUUCAAACUACUUCUUAAUAUAGGGAUGGCCAGCCAAACAAAUACCAGUUGGUUUGGGAGGGAAAAGAAGACAUGGCAGUAUGGCCAGGGUUUGGGGUCAGGUCAGGAGGACAAGCUGCUUGGAGUGAAGGUGGUGUGGGCAGGAGAUCGGGCAGGGUGUGCUGCCACCACCUCGGCUUCCAGUGCUGCUUGCCAAGCCAAGGCUGGGUACAAGGAGUCAGGAGACAGCGGUGCAGCACCACCCAGGGGAGCACUGCUUGCUGAGGGCAGCUUUUAGUUGCCAGUUUUGGAACUGCCUUCUUAAUUUAGCAGCCAAUUUGAGUGAACCAAGCCCCGUUUGUUGACUUGACAUAUAUAGAUAUAUGGAGCUGAUACAGACAGAUAGUUUUUGAUACAAUAUCAAUAAUUUUGAAAUAAAUACAGGUAUUUUAAAAGUCUUGAGAAAUGACAUGUUUUUUUAAGGUUGAGAGAAAGCAGAACAACUUCUACUUUAUUUUCCUUGUCUUUCCUGUAUUUCUGUCUCAUUCAGUUGUUCCUUGGUUCCCCAUUUCUUGCUUUGUUUUUAGGCUGUUUUCCCACACAAGGUUUGGAAAUGUUUUCAGGUCAUCUAUAAAGCCAUAUUCCUUUGGCUUUUCCUGUGUUCAUAUAUAAACACAUAUAAAAGGGAAGUUACUAUUAGAGUUCCUGUCAUACCAUCUUGAAAGGUAUUUUCAAGGCUGAAGAAAAAGAUGUUUCAUCUUUUCACUGUUGUACACUAGUCCCACCUUGUGAAGCUAAUCCAUCUGCUGACUUCUGUUAGCAUUGUUAGUAUGUGUACUCAUUUUAUUCCCUUGGUUUUUCUCUUUUAAGCAUCUCUUUUAAGCAGCUCAGCCAGAGAGGGCGUAUUGAACCUUGCAAUGCCUUACUGUAUUACUUUGGCAGUGGGGAUAUAAGGAGUCCAAUAUUCAUAUGAAAGAUCUGCCUCCUGUAGGAAAAUCCUUAAAAGCCUAACCACAUGUUCUGAGAACCAAGGGAAAUAAAGCUGGGACAGCUAAUUGGAUCUUGUGCUGCCCCUCUUAUUUUUCAACCAAUGAAAGCAUCAGUAGUGUUUUUGUAUAUUUUGGGGUUCCUUGUUGUUCCCUCUCAAAUCCCUUUCUUGGAAUGACUUUUUUCUUAACAAACAGGAUCCAGAUGCUUCAGGAAAGAGUAAUAGCUACUACUUAAGUCUGACUGUCUUUUCCAUUUAUUUUGUGUUGAAAGCCUGUUAAGAAAGUUUUAUCACUUUAAAAGAAAAUGCAAAUAGACAUGAAGGAAUCAUUUUGCUUUUGUAGAUAAUAAGUGUUAAAAAUAAUUUGUAGAGUUCAUAAGGAAAAAGAUUCUUAAGAAUGAUUGUGCUGUUGUGACAGAUUAAAAAAAAAAAAAAAAAAGGCUGGAAAUGGGAACAUUAUGAACUUGUUAGAUGAACCUUUUCAGUUGUGCUAGCAAUGUCCUGCAUGCCCUUCACUCCCAUUUCUAAGGUGAGUGCUGAAAGGAAGGACAGAAAGUGGUCCCUCACACUCCAUCCUGUGCCCAGGCAGGGGCUUCUCACUCUCAGGCUGAUUUGGCUGGUGCCCAUGUUGCUGCCACCCCAUUACUGGAUGCCUAGAGGCUGCUGCUCAUUUUUUCAGGAGAGCCAGCCGAGGUUGCAGCAGUGCUCCAUCACUCCCUUGAAGUUUUAGGGGGAAGGAAAGUUUAGUUUACUUUGCUGGUUGAUCAGUGUGCUGCUGCUUUGGCUUUGUACUAGUGUGACUGUCAGGUUUGCAGCUGUGCAAGUUCUGCCCUUGCCACCCAAGGGGGACCUUUCCUUCUCCCUGGCAUGUGUUCAGUGCACGUGUUACGCUUGUGUUUGCACGGACAUCUUCCAAACUGUGAGCAUUUCAGAUCCCUCCUGAACUGAAUUCCAUUCUGUUUAAUUACUACACGAGCCAUAAUGUUACUUUGUGCAACUGGGACUAGCUUCAACAAGUCCCCUGAAUCUUUAGGGCUGUCUACAGCAGUACCUCGAGCAAGAUGCUGUAGCCAAGGGCCCCUAGGACUCUGUAGCAUCCCUCAUCCAAGUGUAGUAUUACACGGGUUAUAUUUGCUCAUGCAGCAGAAACUACAGCUUAUAAAGAGAAAUUUAAUGAAAGGGAACUAAUAAAAAGGUAGAGGUGUUAUUUAGAAAAAGCAAUUUUGUACUUACCCUAGGUCUAAGGCUGCUUUUAAAGUUGAGUCAAAUUUGGUAAAUUUUCACAUAACAAUGCUGAUCUGGAGUAUGGUGGUUCAUGAUUGCACUGCUUGGAUUGUGACAGCAGCACUGGUUGCCCUUUCCUCUUUUCUAACAGGGAACUGGAAAAGGAUGCUGCAUAACAUCCUGAAGCACCCCUGAAUAUGUACCCCAGGGAGAUAAGGAAGCCCAACAGACACUGUUUGAAUACAGGCAUUUAAGCUGUCCAUGCUUAAAUAGCAGUACUGGCCCUCCUUUGCCUGGAGCAAUACAUGAGUUUGGUGCAUGUGAUUGCUGUGGCAAUUAGUUCACUGCAGAUCUUUAAUCUUAAAGUACGGAUCUAAAACAUUUUUCUCAAAGUUUGCUUCUUUUACAUGGAGUUGGCUUUUUUUUCCUUUGUGUCUUUAGUGGUGGGGUUUCUUCCCCCCCUGCCAUUACCAUCAUUUUACUUUAGUAUGCUACAGGUACAGAAUUUGAAGUCUUGUCAUUUUUAACAAGUUUUUAUUUUAUCUUAGUGUAUUUCCUACAGAAUGAUGCCCUUUUUUGUCACUAAGUCAAUGGGCUGAAAUGAAAAUGAACACUGUUGACUUCCACAACACACAAAUCAAAAUUACGGUUUCCAUUAUGAUUGCUUGGACUUUCAAUCAAUAGAACAUUUAAAAAGAGCCUUGAUGUCCAGUAAAGUAAAACAUGUUAUAAUUAGGCAAAAAUAGCAUUUGUAAAAUUGUGAUGAGUUUUGAAGAAGCUUUUGGGUGUAUGAAAUUGCUGUCUAAUCACUUUCUUUAAAUGAAAAGUGACAGGUAGGUGUUAUAUCACAACAAUGUCACUCUGCUUCUAAGAGUCCUUCCGUAAGCAAUCCAACAUCAGGCAAACCCAACCAACCUCGAUUCAGUCUUAUUUCAUGCAGCUACUAGACAGGCUUAUUUGCUGUAGCAUAUCAGACUUGAGUUCAUUUUAGUUGGAAUCUUCCUGUUCAACAUAAAGACUUAAGCGUCUUUAUUUAUGAUGAAACUGAAAAAAGGGGGAAUUACUGAAAUUGACACAAUCUUUUUCAAUUGAUACAAUCUUGUCUGUCUUCUGAGUACACUUUAAAAUUGUGCAGGUAAUUCAGGAACCUGGAUGAAACGGAACAUCAAUGAAAAUCAGAAAGUCACUCCAUAGAUGGACUCAAAAACUUUGGGGAGAUCCUCGUGUCUUUUUGCUUCCAAAUAAAAUAAAGACCCUAGUGACAAACCAACCUUUUAAAAUAUCCUCCCUAUUGUGGUUUCGUUGGUUAGCUCUGAAAAUCACUGAAUCUGAGUUAGUGGAAAUAUUUUACAUUUUCUUUUUUUUUUGGUCAGAUUUGGAAGUAUUUUUUUUCAGGUAUGAGCUUUGCAGCUGACGCAGGUUUCUCCCACGUACCAUGUAGUGUGCAAGGAUGGGAAGGUGACCCUGUACCUUGGAAGAAGUCGCUGUUUUGUCACUAGGUAGACAUUGACAUGUGUUCCCUAAAUGCCACCCAUCUCAGCUCUCCUGCCUUUCCAUUGCAUUCCUGAGUUUCAAAGCCAUCACUUAGUCUCCCAUUUGGGCAGAAGCAACUCCACGAAUGCAGCAACUCAAGGUUUUUCUUCAGUUUGAUUUUAGCAUGCACUUAUAGACACUGCUUGUGAAGUGGUGAACGUGAGAAAUCUGGAAAGUGAGAGCCAGCAUAUGGAGCUAGCAAAUGAAGAUGGGAACGAUGAACUAAAUGUUGCUUUGGGGAGACAUGAUGUUAAGCAUUUGGCUUUUCAGCUUUACAGCUUAGACUGCAUAAAGAAAAUUUAUACUCUUCGACCCAGUGAUGUCUGAAUUCUAAAUGUUUAUUGGAAAUAUGAUUGCAGUUCAUGUAGAUGUUUUCAUAGAAUAAUGUGUUGUCAAUAAAGGGGUUAGCAUAUCGCUCCCCUCAAAAAUCUCAUGGCUCACAAUCACUUUCCUCAUUUUCCUAUGAGUACAAUAUGUUAUUUCUUUAUUUUCUGGAUAUUGGAGUAUCUUAUGUGCAAGUUCAUGAACUCUUAUCAUAAGGCACCUACUACUCUUAAUGAUACACAUACUACACAAUAGUAGGAAGAAGAAAAAGAAAAUAACUUUUUUGUUAUUUUCUUCUAGUGUUCAGACCUUUAUACAUUUUUCUCUACCAUCCUCAGGUCUUCUUUAUAUGUUUUUUUUUUACCUUUCUUCAAGUUUUCUCAAAGUGUUAAUAGUGUUAAUAUUGUUCUCAAUUACUUUUUGUGGAAAGUGGUUUUAUUAUUUUUUUUCUACUUUCACUAUGGGAACAAAUCAUCUCCCCUUUUAAUAAAGUUGUUCUUUUAACUUUUUCACAUACAGAAAGGUAGCAACAUUCUUUUGUAGGCAAAGUCAGAGAGUAUCAGUAGUUAUGGUAAAAUGAUUAAACCAACAGUUGAUCAGAUUGAACUAACAAAAUGCAAACCCCAAAAAACUUUGCUUUCACGUGUUUUACUGGACUACUGGUAAAACUGUUCAAAUUAACGCCACAGAAAUACAUGAUGAAAUAGCAUUUCUGAGUAGUCUUUCAAAAUUGUUAAAAGCUUGUAGUGUCAAGUACUUUUUCAAUACUGGAAAGAAUUAAAAGAGAGAAGGAGAUUAUGAAGAUUUUGGAAGUAAAAUAAAUUUAUUUCUGGUAAUGGAACUUAAAACAACAUGCAGAUUUCCAGAAGCUUUAUUGCCCGGUACUUUUAUUGGCAGAGUGAAGAAGGAUGCCUAGUGGAAGGGUAGGCUUACAAGUAGUUACCUACCCCUAUGUGUAGCGGAUAAUUGGGUCUCACACAACACUUAGAUCUGUGUCUGUGUCUGCCUCUGGUUUUCAUUAAUGUUGAUAAUAUCUUAGCAAGCAUUCAGUGAGUCACGUCAUAUGGAUCUGCAAAUUGUUAUUUAGAAGCAGGUAUCAAUUUCAAUGGCAGGAGUUUGGUUCCAGCCAACAGCCCUGCUGAUGGCACCAAACAGCCAUGGAUGCAGAGCUUCACUGGGCUAGCUGCUUGUUAGGAAGCAUUGUGGUGUGGCUGGCUGCAAGCCUGUCAGGCUGAAACAGUUCAUGUGAAAAGAAGGAAAAGUCUUGUUUUAAACACAGUGACUUGAGUCUGACCCGUAUUCAUGGGCAUGAGUUAUCUGCUUGAGACCACAGGAAACUUUCCUGGAGAGGAAAGAUUCAGUCACAGGUUAGAAUGGCUGUGCUUUUUAUAGAGAUUCACAAGUUUUAUUAAAGUUUAGAUUUGGUUUUUGUUAACCUCUGCUCAAUGCUGGAUGAUUUCUAGCCAGUGAAGAUAUUAAAUAUAGUUCCAGAAAAAUCUAAUUUUCCCUGGUAAAUUACCUGGAACCAUUGUGGGUAAAGUUGUUUGGCUUGGCAUAAACUCCCCUAAGAAGGUUUGCCUGUGGAUAUGGCAGCCGAGAUGGAUUUCUAUUGAAGAAGGCUCUCCUUCUUAUGAAAAAUAAACAAUUUAAAUCUUCUGGAAGAGAGCCCAGAUUGUUUAUUCUUAGGCUUAAAAUGAUGGCCUUUCAUAAAAAUCUGGAGACACUCAAUCUACAUAUUCAAGUAAGAUUCGCAAUACAAGUGAGCAAAUGCGAGUCCAUAUGUUUGUUGCAAAUCUUCAAGGAAUGACAAGAGGGCUCUUGGUUUUGUUAUUCUACUGGCAGCAGUGGCUUUCUUGAGAGUCUGACUCCUUUAUACAGGACUACUUUUCCAUGAAGGGUUUGUUGCCAUUGUGACAGUGGCGAGGAUCCUUCUUCCUGACUGACAGCCAAUGUCAAAUACUGAGCACUUUAUUGAAUUUUUGCACCUUUUUGAUCUUACUAUUAGUCUUCUCACUUUAUUCUCAAGAUACAGACUGCUCUUAGGAUCUCUAUGGAUACUGAGGAGGACUUGCUCUUUUUACACUCAUUGGCAGCAUUGCCAACUGAAAGGUUUUCUUCUGGGUUCUACAACUUCUAUGAUGUUUCUCUCGUCCUUUGCAUUUUGGUGGCUGUUCCUUGUUCUCCCCUCUUCAAAAUGGGAUACAUGUUACUAACAAAGUUGCUUGCAGGUAGUAGGAAUCCAUCUCAUUACUCAUAAAGUUUAUCUUGUUCCUCGGUCUGUACACAUAAUCAGGACUGUCUCAUCCCAGAUGCAGAAUCCAUCACUUGCCCAUCUUAAACUUCACACAGUUGGUGAUUGCCCACCUCUCUGAUUUGUCGAGGCCUCUCUGGAGGGCCUCCCUGCCUUCGAGGGAGUCAACAGAUCCUGCCAAUUUAGUGUCGUCAGUACACUUAGUAUCCCUUCCAGUCCUGCAUCCAAGUCAUUUAUGAAGAUGUUGAAGAGCACAGGGCUGUGGAUGGAGCCCUGGGGAAUCCCAUCAGUGACAGGUCACCAGUCCAAUGUCACCCUGUUCCCUAUAACCCUUCAUGCCUGAGUGGUGAGCCAGUUGCUCAUCCAUGGCAUGAUGUGUUUAUCCAGCUGUGUGCAUGACAUUUUGUCCAGAAGGAUCCUGUGAGAGACAGUAUCAAAAUCUUUACUGAAGUCCAAAAAAGUUACAUCAGUUGGCUUCCCUUGAUCGACUAUGCGAGUUACCCUGUUGUAGAAGUAAAUUGGAUUUGAUGAGCAGGACUUCCCCUCAUGAAAUUGUGCUGGCUGUGACCAAUGACUCUUUUGUCUUCCAGGUGUUUUUCAAUACCUCCCAGAAUAAUCUUUACCAUGAAAGGGUAUUCAGGCUUUGAAGUAAAAUGUCACAUCUGUAGGCUGAGCACCAGAUGACUAUAGAAAUUUAAUCCAUUAUCUGAAAUAGUCUUGAUUUUGUUCUUUUCAUUAGCCAUGUAUAGAUAGUAAAUUUUUUUUUUGUACAAUCUCAGAAACAUAGCUUACAUUCUAUAUUUUCAUUAUAGACCAUUUGCAUUUUAUGCUAUCAUAGCACUACUGUGUACUCCUUUAUCCAUACAUUUAUUCUCAAAUUGAUGCAUCUGCUUCAUAUAACUCUCAUUUUAUGCCUGACAUACUCUUUUGAUUGCAAAUUAUUGCUGUGGCUUGUUUUCAAAAGCUUCAUUUUCAACUGUAUUCUUAAAUCAAUUUCAGAAAUAUAUUAGAAAUAAUAAGAAAAUAAUUCCCACAAGGCUCUGUUAAGGAUUUUGUGAGAACAUUGCUUACUUCAUCAUUCACUGGAAAAAAUCUUGAAAGGAGUAGUUAAUGCUGGUGUCAUCUCGUGAUUUUCCACAAAAAUGAAGUGAAGUUUUCUGCUUUUGGUCUUGAUCUCUUAUAUGUUUACUUAUAUGAGAAGAGUGCCAGUGCAAGAAGACAUACAUUUAAAUUCAGAUGCGUAAAUUUCUUCCCAAUCUGGGCUGAAUGUCUUUUGUACUGAUGGCUGCGCAUUCACUCAGGAAGGCCCAACAUCAGCCAAUGAUCAGAAAUCAGGCUGUUUCCACAAGAAACAGGUGCUGGAGAUGGAUCUGCUCAGGAUCAAAGCAGUAAUAAUAUUAAACUGUAAAUGUAACGCUGAGACAAAAAGACAGAUCACUAAACACCAGAAAGUACAGCAACAGUGUUAAGAGGGUUAGCAUUGUCUCAUUUUGCAUAUUUUUAAAUUAUGUUAAAUGCAAUACAAUGUUAAGAUAUAUAGUUAAUGAGAAAAACAAGACAAAAAUACUAAAUAUACAAAAUAAGGCUGAAUUAAUAUCAGUAGUGGAACAGUUGUUUAAAAGUUUACUGACACUUCUGACUACUGAUGGGAGUCUAUUAAUACUUCCUUUUCUAUUUAACUCCUAAUCAGUAAAAAAAACCCCAAACUCAAUAUUGUUAAUUCUGCAUUUGACAAGUAGACUAUUAGAAAAAGAAAUAGCAUACAACCUUAUUCCUUUUUAAUUAACUUUAGGGAUAAAAUUGGCACUAACCAGAUCCUUUUGAGUGAUUUGGAUGUUUGAACUCUUUGAAUGUACAGUUGUUGGUCUUUGGUGCAGUCAUUUGUCUUUAUCAGGGUGGGACCAGAAGAUGGAUCCAUGACACUGCUGUAGGGCAGGGGCUGGUAGUGGUGCAUGGCGGCAAUGCAAGCCUCAGGGCACAGGGAGAGGGACAUGUGUAUGGAUGGAUGCUUCCUGCUCCUCAGUCACAUGAUUGUAGCAAGAUUAACAGCUCUGAUUUUGAGGAGAAAGCCUCAGUAUGCCAAGUGUCAGAAGUCAGAAGAUUGAUAACUUGAAAAUAUGGUUAUCGUUUAUUUAGCAAGUAUUAAAGGCCUGAAAAAGCCUCCACCUUCUUAACUGUACAGUUUCUCUCUCCAGAUUUUCAAAUACAGCAUAUAAUGUUGAGAAGAAAUGGACUAUGGAAAUUUUAAAUCUGAAAUGGAUUUAUUUUUGAAAUUAUCAGUACAUGACUAGGAGCCCCUAAUGGAAAUUGCUUUGUAAAUGCCAUGCCUACUGAAAGUAUUAGUGAAAAUCUGAUUUGCAUUUUUAUUCCAUUCACUCUGAUGAAAUUGAAAGAGACAAAGAUUAGCAAUAGAUCAGUUGGAACAGAAAACUUCCAUUCUCACACUAUAUCAGAGAGAUAAUUUGAAUUCCCACUUUCAUCUGGAUGGCCGUAGAUGGUGGGACUGUUACCUGUUAGGUUGUACAACGCUUCUGUGUUCUUCAAGCUUUAAAUUGGUACACAGAUAUCACUUUACAUAAAAAUGUGCAUAAAUGAAGUCUCUGUUACGUGUCUGACAAAAUCAGCCAAGCUGCAGGGAAGCUGUGAUGGAAAUAGAGAUUAUCUGCUAAAACUGAUGGAUCAUGAUGGAGGAACUUCAAUGACAACUUAGAAGCAUCCUCUUGACUACUUUCUUUUUGCCUAUGAAGUAGGGAAAGUGGUAUAGUGAU